rnacentral:lncRNA from 1 species
AAGGCCGGCGCAGAGCGCCACCACCCACCACACAAACAGCCAGCCGCUGCCGUCCUCGGUCCUCCCGACGGCCGGCGAUGGCGACCCUGGGCGUGCUACUGCUGCUGCUCCGGAGGAACGCUCACCUAGAGCAGGAUCUCGACCUUCGCUUCCGCCUCUUCCGCUACUGGGACUCCCUACCCGAUGGGCACGCCUAGUUCCUUCGCGCCAACGCCUCCGCCAUCGGCCCCUCAUUGGCAACCCCGAUGCCGCAUCGAUGUGCCGCCGUCCUUCUCUGUGGGGACGGACUACGUCGACCUCCCAAGUACCGGGAGCGCCGCACCCGCGUCACCAACAUCCCCAACUUCCUCACCGACGACGUUGCCGGCCUCGCUAUCUUUGUGCCAAGGGAGACCGCGCAGGCUGACUGCUACAUGCACGCCGGCUUGUGGAAGGCAAGAGGAACUACACAGUCACCACGCUGGUUGGUAUCCGAUGCUUUUGCCUUGACUUCUGUUCAUAUUUUUCCCUUAAUAUAAAUGAAACUUAAAUACAGUAUAUCUUAAUCGAUACUUUUAGUGGAUACAUGGUCGAUGGCACAAGUUAUUACUUACUGGUGAGACAUCGCCUGUCGAGAUGGCGAGGCUUCGCUUGGACAUACACAUACCUCUAUGUAGCCCAAAUCGUUAGGGUCAAAUUCUUGCUGACGAGGACUGUGUACUCAUACGCUCGCUCCUUGAUAUUUGAAAGUUUGUUUGCUGGCGAAGUGUGUCAUCAUUUGCUUAAUUAAAAGCAAAAUAUAUGCUUCACAUUUACACACUAAGACUAUAUUUUCAGUAUGGUUUCUUGUGACUAACCUCCUUAACAUCCUCGGAUGUGAUUCUUCCCUCAGCAUUUUGUCAACCCUGAACAAAGUGCACCUAUAUAUCAAGAGUGUAGGAAACCAAGAAAAAACAUUUAGCAGGAGUGAACUACUAACAUGUCGAUGCAUGUUUGGUGACGGUUGUCGAAACCCUGGUGAUUGAGUUGCUCCCAGAGCUCUUUCAGCUCCACCUUGGUCAGCACUUCAUUGUCCCUCUCUUCCUUGCCAGUGAAUCGAACAACCUCGCCGUUGUCUCUGAACCAGGUGGUCUUUGUGGCCUUUGCUGCUUGAACCUUCUAAGCUCCCACUAUUUGUGUUUGGGAUAAGCGUUGCAGUGUCAGAAUCAGUGGCUCACUUGGCAGCUUCAGUGUCAGACAUGUCCUUAUUUACCUACCUCUAGGACAACUUCUCCUCCCUACUCAAAGGAGAAGUUGGUCACUAACUGUCUUUUUCAGCGAAUCAAAACUUGCUGCAGAUGUGUCUCCACACAUAGAAAGGUAAAUAAAAAUAGAAGUUACGAUUGUACUUGUAAUAACUUAAGAUACAUGAAUAGAAAUUACAAGAGAAGAGAUCUCACUUUCUAUUUUCCAACCGCUCAGAUCUACCUAGCUCAAUUAAGAACUCAUCUCUCCAUGNNNNNNNNNNNNNNNNNNNNNNNNNNNNNNNNNNNNNNNNNNNNNNNNNNNNNNNNNNNNNNNNNNNNNNNNNNNNNNNNNNNNNNNNNNNNNNNNNNNNNNNNNNNNNNNNNNNNNNNNNNNNNNNNNNNNNNNNNNNNNNNNNNNNNNNNNNNNNNNNNNNNNNNNNNNNNNNNNNNNNNNNNNNNNNNNNNNNNNNNNNNNNNNNNNNNNNNNNNNNNNNNNNNNNNNNNNNNNNNNNNNNNNNNNNNNNNNNNNNNNNNNNNNNNNNNNNNNNNNNNNNNNNNNNNNNNNNNNNNNNNNNNNNNNAAUUGGACUGAACCCCAAGUGGAGAAACAAACAUACACUAACUAACAAUCAAGUACAUUUUUUUUACGUCAAAGGGAAAAAUAGCAAAGUUUAUACCUUAAACCCGAGAGAGACAUCGAGCCCUAAUUGGAACCGGGAGCAAAGAGAACCCUUAAUUAAUACUCCCUUUGUCUCAAAAUAUAAGGCAUUUUUGACACUUUUGAGACAUAGGGAGUACAAACCAAGUUGUCUGGGACCUAAAAAGCAUGAGGUAAAGCACCAACCAACAAUGGCACUUGGCACUAGUCACUGGUGUCUACUCUACUCCUCCGAAUGUGAAUCGCUGGCCUUGCGACAAAUGACACGGGGGAAAUUGGUUAGUGCAUGGUUGCACUUCAGCUAUAGGAAACUUAAGGGAAAAACCCACGAUAUUCAUAUUUUUCUCUUUGAAUCAGAUCUAUAGGUAUUUUCCAAAAGAAACUUCGAAGAGAAUAGAAACAACAGUGAAAAACUGUCGGCAAUCUGGAUCACGUAUCCGAAAGAAACCCUGAAGAGAACUAACCAACAUCUUUGAUUGUGCAAUCUGGAUCACGUAUUCUGCUGAGUUGGGGUAUCUUAACCCUAGAAAUUUGGAUGUUAGGACCUGCAUUCACCAUUUUCCAACAUAGAAAACCAUUAAUUAGAGAUGUAAAACAAAUGGCUUAUAGUUUUCUGCUGUGCAAUUGUUUAUUUUUUAGAAACUAUGUUCUCAAAAUUCUAAUCCCGAGUAGUGUUGCAACAGGUCAAAGGAAGAAGUCUAACCUGAAGAAGUGCAGGGAAGAAUUACAACUGCAUGUGGUCGGCUGGUUCAGGGGACGUUCAGGGUGGGCGCGGCGGCUCAUAUGCCGGGGCAGGCUCUUGGGCACUAGCGAUCUCGCAGACGGAUAUUAGAAAAAAAGGUGAGUUUUUUUGCUGGUAAAAAAAGCAGGUGAGGUUGUAUCUUGUCAGUUGGGUUUCCAUUGGCUGUGGAAAUCAUACCUGGCGAUCUGAUGUGGCUGCCUGCAGCUUCAAAACUCGAGCAGAUUGCUGCAUAGUAGUCUUGUUCUAGCCUGGCCGAUCGGUGAAUAUUUGAUUGUAGGUGAAGGAGGGGCGGCCGCCCACUCGACGGUGCUGAUAAGGGCGGCGAGGGAGCCCGGAAGGUAGGCGUCGAUGCAGUGCAGGUCGACGACGAUCCGAUGCAGGGAUCAAGGUCGCCGUGUAGGGAGGCGUCGAUGCAGUGCAGGGUUGGCGAUGAAAGGCAGGGAGAGGGCGAGGACGCGAUUAGGUUGAGUUUUCUUUUUCGCGUGGUGGUUAGAUGGUUAGAUUAGUGUGAUUUGAGGGGCUAUGGAGGCUGGUCAGGGAGUUUCGUAUUUUCAUCUGAUGGAGUACGGUUAGUCUAUGUAAACUGCUAAGCGCACACAAGAUCUCGAAUAAAUUAAUGAUGGUUGUUAGAUGGGGUCGUUCGGGCUUCACCCUAUGGUGUUGAUGUCGGUUACGUGGUUGUGGACGUUUUGCAGGGUGCACUUAAGAAAGUUCUUCUUUGAUUGUUUAAUAGUAGUGGAGAUAAAAUAGUCAGUUUCAUAAUUAUUCACCAAAGAAAAUUAGUAUGAUGAUACAAUGCAAAAUAUAGCUCUUAGGAUUGUUGGACAAAAUAUAUCCGGUGAAGUACCCAUAUAUUUAACAUCCAGAAGACCACAAGAUAACUUGUAUGAUGACUAUAAGUGUUAAUAGUUUUAUAAAACUAUUAUCCUUUAUUUAUUUAUAAAACUAUCAAAAUAAUAAUGACUGAAUAUUUUUUAAAACCAUUGUGACAGUAUAAAAAAACCGCACCAUACAGCCGAACCUAACACGUCCGAUAAAAAAGGAAUUAAACAAUGUCCGAUGCUAAUAUAAACCAAAUGACAAAAAUGGUAGUGAUAAUUAUGAAAAAAGAAUGAAUAACGCCCGACGCUAUAUAUUAGUAUUACUUAAUUAUUACUCCCUCUGUAAAUAAAUAUAAGACGUUUUAGACAGAGUAGUACUUGACUAAAGAGCCAUCGAUAAAGAAAGAAAAAGGAAAGAAAGAACUGGACACACCCGAUGCUCUUUGCCUCGUGCCUCCCUCUUACACCUCACACAUGACCAAACCUUAUCCUUCCAUUGUCUCCCCACCGCUCCUAGAAAAGCAAAAGAAAAAUAAAACGCUAGCAGAAAGGACGGCGCGGAGCGCCAACACCCACCACACAACAGCCAGCCGCUGCCGUCCUCGGUGCUCCCGGCGGUCGGCGAAGGCAACCCUGGGCAUGCUGCUGCUGCUGCUCCGGAGGACCGCUCACCUGGAGCAGGAGCUCGACCUUCGCUUCCGCCUCUUCCGCUACUGGGACUGCCGUGCCAACGCGCAUGCCUAGUUCCUUCACGCCAACGCCUCCGCCAUCGGCACCGUCAUUGGCAACCCCGAUGUCGCAUCGAUGCACCGCCGUCCUUCUUUGUGGGGAUGGACUGCGUCCACCUCCCAAGUACCGGGAGCGCCGAAUCCGCGUCACCAACAUCUCCAACUUCCUCACCGACGACGUUGCCGGCCUCGCCAUCUCUGUGCCAUCUAAGACCACACAUGCUGACCGCUACAUGCGCGCCGGCUUGUGGAAGGCAAGAGGGACUACACAGUGACCACGCGGGUUGGUAUCCGAUGCUUUUCCGUUGACUUCUGUUCAUAUUUGUUUCCUUAAUAUAAAUGAAACUUAAAUACAAUAUAUCUUAAUUGAUACUUUUAGUGGAUACAUGGUCGAUGUCACAAGUUAUUACUUACUGGUGAGACAUCGCACGUCGACAUGGCGAGGCUUCGCUCGGACAUACACAUAUUGCUACCUCUUGAAGAGGAAAGGGUGAUGCAGCAAAGUAGCAUAAGUAUUUUCCUCAGUUUUAAGAACCAAGGUAUCAAUCCAGUAGAAGAUGACGCACAAGUCACCGAAUACCUGCACAAAUAAUCAAGAAUUUGCAACCAAAACGAUAAAGGGGUUGUCAAUCCCUUCACGGUCACUCGCAAAAGUGAGAUCUGGUAGAGAUAAUAAAGUAAAUAUUUUUGGUAUUUUUGGUUUAUAGAUUGGAAAGUAAAGAUUGCAAAAUAAUAGAUCAGAAACUAGCAAGAUGUAAACAAGAUUUAAUAUAAUGGGAAAAGAGACCCGGGGGGCAUAGGUUUCACUAGUGGUUUCUCUCGAGAUAGCAUAUAUUAUGGUGGGUGAACAAAUUACUGCCGAACAAUUGAUAGAAAAGCGCAUAAUUAUGAUGACAUCUAAGGCAAUGAUCAUGAACAUAAGCAUCACGUCUGUGUCAAGUAGACCGCCUCCUGCCUGCAUCUACUACUAUUACUCCACCCAUCGACCACUAUCAAGCAUGCAUCUAGAGUAUUAAGUUCAUAAAGAACGGAGUAACGCAUUAAGCAAGAUGACAUGAUGUAGAGGAAUUAACUCAAGCAAUAUGAUGAAAAUCCCAUCUCGUUAUCCUCGAUGGCAACAAUACAAUACGUGCCUUGCUGCCCCUACUGUCACUGGGAAAGGACACCGCAAGAUUGAAUACAAAGCUAAGCACUUCUCCCAUGGCAAGAAAGAUCAAUCUAGUAGGCCAAACUAAACCGAUAAUUCGAAGAGACUUGCAAAGAUAUCAAAUCAUGCAUAUAAGAACUCAGAGAAGAACCAAAUAAUAUUUAUAGAUAAUCUUGAUCAUAAAUCCACAAUUCAAUAGAUCUCGGCAAACACACCGCAAAAGGGUAUUACAUCGAAUAGAUCUUCGAGAACAUCGAGGAGAACUUUGUAUUGAGAAUCAAAGAGAGAGAAGAAGCCAUCUAGCUAAUAACUAAUGACCCGAAGGUCUGUGGUAAACUACUCACACUUCAUCAGAGAGGUAAUAGUGUUGAUGUAGAAGCCCUUCAUGAUCGAAUCCCCCUCCUACAGGACGCCGGAAAAGGCCUCAAGAUGGGAUCUCACAGGUACAGAAGGUUGCGGCAGUGAAAAACUUGUUUUGUGGCUCCCCCUGAUGUUUUUAUGGUAUAAGAGUAUAUAUAGGCGAAAGAACUAGGUCGGUGGAGCUACCAGGGGCCCAAGAGGGUGGGGGCGCGCCCUCCUGCCUCAUGGCUUCCUUGUUACGUCUCCGACUUCAUCUCCAAGUCUUCUGGUUUGCUUUCGGUCCAAGAAAAAUCAUCACGAAGGUUUCAUUCCGUUUGGACUCCGUUUGGUAUUCCUUUUUCGCAAAACUCUAAAAUAGGCAAAAAAAGAAAGUAGCACUGGGCCCUCGGUUAAUAGGUUAUGCCCAAAAAUAAUAUAAAAUAGCUUAUUAAAGCCCAUUAAACAUCCAAAACAGAUAAUAUAAUAGCAUGGCACAAUCAAAAAGUAUAGAUACGUUGGAGACGUAUCAAGCAUCCCCAAGCUUAAUUCUUGCUCGUCCUCGAGUAGGUAAAUGAUAAAACAGAAUUUUUAAUGUGGAAUGCUACGUAACAUAUUUAUCAAUGUAAUUUUUUUUGUGACAUGAAUGUUCAGAUCUGAAAGAUUCAAGACAAAAGUUUAAUAUUGACAUAAAAACAAUUAUACUUCAAGCAUACUAACUAAGCAAUCAUAUCUUCUCAAAAUAACAUGGCCAAAGAAAGUUAUCCCUACAAAAUCAUAUAGUCUGGCUAUGCUCUAUGUUCAUCACACAAAGUAUUUAAUCAUGCACAACCCCGAUGACAAGCCAAGCAAUUGUUUCAUACUUUUGAUGUUCUCAAACUUUUUCAACUUCACGCAAUACAUGAGAGUGAGCCAUGGAUAUAGCACUAUGGUGGAAUAGAAGGGUGGUUGUGGAGAAGACAAAAAGGAGAAGAUAGUCUCACAUCAACUAGGCGUAUCAACGGGCUAUGGAGAUGCUCAUCAAUAGAUAUCAAUGUGAGUGAGUAGGGAUUGCCAUGCAACGGAUGUACUAGAGCUAUAAGUGUACGAAAGCUCAAAAAGAAACUAAGUGGAUGUGCACCCAACUUGCUUGCCCACGAAGACCUAGGACACUUUGAGGAAGCCCAUCAUUUGAAUAUACAAGCCAAGUUCUAUAAUGAAAAAUUCCCACUAGUAUAUGAAAAUGACAACAUCGAAGACUCUCUAUCAUAAAAAUCAUGGUGCUCUUUGAAGCAAAAGUGUGGAAAAUGAUAGUAGCAUUGCCCCUUCUCUUUUUUUUCUCAUUUAUUUUUAUUCUAUUUUUUUAUUUGGGCCUUUUCUUUUUUUAUGGCCUCUUUUUUUUCCUUUUAUUUUUAUUUUUCAUUCGGAGUCUCAUCCCGACUUGUGGGGGAAUCAUAGUCUCCAUCAUCCUUCCCUCACUGGGACAAUGCUCUAAUAAUGAAGAUCAUCACACUUUUAUUUACUUACAACUCAAGAACUACAACUCGAUACUUAGAACAAAAUAUGACUCUAUGUGAAUGCCUCCGGCGGUGUACCGGGAUGCGCAAUGAUUCAAUAGUGACAUGUAUGAAAAAGUAUGAACGGUGGCUUGGCCGCAAAUACGAUAUCAACUACAUGAUCAUGCAAAGCAAUAUGAUAAUGAUGGAGCGUGUCAUAACAAACGGAACGGUGGAAAGUUGCAUGGUAAUAUAUCUCGAAAUGGCUAUGGAAAUGUCAUAAUAGGUAGGUAUGGUGGCUGUUUUGAGGAAGGUAUAAGGUGGGUGUAUAGUAUUAGUGAAGGUUGCGCGACACAAGAGAGGCUAGCAAUGGUGGAAGGGUGAGAGUGCGCAUAAUCCAUGGACUCAACAUUAGUCAUAAAGAACUCACAUAUUUAUUGCAAAAAUCUAUUAGUUAUCAAAACUAAGUGAUACGUGUGUGCUCCUAGGGGAUAGAUUGGUAGGAAAAUACCAUCGCUCAUCCCCGACCGCCACUCAUAAGGAAGAGAAUCAAUAAAUAAAUCAUGCUCCAACUUCAUCACAUAACGGUUCACCAUACGUGCAUGCUACGGGAAUCACAAACUUUAACACAAGUAUCUCUUAAAUUCACAACUACUCUACUAGCAUGACUCUAAUAUUACCAUCUUCAUAUCUCAAAACAAUCAUAAUGAAUCAAACUUCGUAUAGUAUUCAACGCACUUUACAUGAAAGUUUCUAUUAUACCCAUCUUGGAUGCUGCUACCUCUUGAGCUUGCGUUGGUUUUCCUUGAAGAGGAAAGGGUGAUGCAGCAUAGUAGCGUAAGUAUUUCCCUCAGUUUUUUAGAACCAAGGUAUCAAUCCAGUAGGAGGCUCCUCAAAAGUCCCAGGCACCUACACAAACAAACAAGAACCUCGCGACCAACGCGAUAAAGGGAUUGUCAAUCCCUUCACGGUAACUUGCGAAAGCGAGAUCUGAUAGAGAUAAUAUGAUAAGAUAAAUAUUUUUGGUAUUUUUAUGAUAUAGAUUGGAAUGUAAAAGAUGCAAAUAAAAGUAGAUGAAAAACUUAUAUGAUAAAAAGAUAGACCCGGGGGCCAUAGGUUUCACUAGUGGCUUCUCUCAAGAUAGCAUAAGUAUUACGGUGGGUGAACAAAUUACUGUCGAGCAAUUGAUAGAAAAGUGUAUAGUUAUGAGAUUAUCUAGGCAUGAUCAUGUAUAUAGGCAUCAUGUCCGCAACAAGUAGACCGACUCCUGCCUGCAUCUACUACUAUUACUCCACACAUCGACCGACUCCUGCCUUCAUCUAGAGUAUUAAGUUCAUGAAGAACAGAGUAACGCAUUAAGAAAGAUGACAUGAUGUAGAGGAAUAAACUCAUGCAAUAUGAUAUAAACCCCAUCUUUUUAUCCUUGAUGGCAACAAUACAAUACGUGCCUUGCUGCCCCUAUUGUCACUGGGAAAGGACACCGCAAGAUUGAACUCAAAGCUAAGCACUUCUCCCAUGGCAAGAAAGAUCAAUCUAGUAGGCCAAACCAAACUGAUAAUUCAAAGAGACUCGGAAAGAUAACCAAUCAUACAUAAAGGAAUUCAGAGGAGAUUCAAAUAUUUCCCAUAGGUAAACUUGAUCAUAAACCCACAAUUCAUUGGAUCUCGACAAACACACCACAAAAAGAGUUACAUCGAAUAUAUCUCCAAGAAUAGGAAGGAGAACUUUGUAUUGAGAAUCAAAGAGAGAGAAGAAGCCAUCUAGCUAAUAACUAUGGACCCGAAGGUCUGUGGUAAACUACUCACAACUCAUCGGAGAGGCCCUCCAUGGUCGACUCCCCCUCCGGCGGAGCACCGGCGAAGGCUCCAAGAUGGGAUCUCGCGGAUACAGAAGGUUGCGGCGGUGGAAAUAGUUUUUGUGGUGCUCCUGGAUGUUUUCGAGGUAUGUAGAUAUAUAUAGGCGAAGGAAGUCGGUCAGGGGAGCCACAAGGGGCCCACAAGGCAGGGGGGGGGCGCCCACCCUUACUGGGCGUGCCGGCCAUCCUCGUGGCCGCUUCGGCUGCUUCUUGACAUCCACUCCAAGUCUCCUGGAUUGCGUUUGUUCCAAAAAGAUCGCUCCCAAAGGUUUCAUUCCAUUUGGACUCCGUUUGAUAUUCCUUUCCUUCGAUAUACUGAAGUAGGCAAAAAACAGCAAUUCGGGUUGGGCCUCUGGUAAGAAGGUUAGUCCCAAAAAUGAUAUAAAAGUGUAAAGUAAAGCCCAUAAACAUCCAAAAUAGGUAAUAUAAUAGCAUGGAACAAUAAAAAAUUAUAGAUACGUUGGAGACGUAUCAAGCAUCCCCAAGCUUAAUUCCUGCUCGUCCUUGAGUAGGUAAAUGAUAAAAACAGAAUUUUUUGAUGUGGAAUGCUACCUAGCAUAUUUCUCAAUGUAUUUCUAUUUAUUGUGGCAUGAAUGUUCAGAUCCAAAUGAUUCAAAAUAAAAAUUCAUAUUGACAUAAGAAAUAGUAAUACUUCAAGCAUACUAACAAAGCAAUCAUGUCUUCUCAAAAUAACAUGGCAUUAGAAGGUUCAUCCCUACAAAAUCAUAUAGUUUGGCUAUGUUUCAUUUUCAUCACACAAAAUACUCCCAUCAAGAACAACCCCGGUUUCAGCCAAGCAAUUGGUUCAUACUUUUUAACGCGCUUCAGCUUUUUUCAACUCUCACACAAUACAUGAGCGUGAGCCAUGGAUAUAGCACUAUGGGUGGAAUAGAAUAUGAUUAUGGAGGUUGUGUGGAGAAGACAAAAAGGAGAAAGUCUCAUAUUGACAAGGAUAAUCAACGGGCUAUGGAUAUGCCCAUCAAUUGAUGUCAACAUGAGGAGUAGGGAUUGCCAUGCAACGGAUGCACUAGAGCUAUAAAUGUAUGAAAGCUCAACAAAAGAAACUAAGUGGGUGUGCAUCCAACUUGCUUGCUCAUGAAGACCUAGGGCAUUUUGAGGAAGCCCGUCAUUGGAAUAUAGAAGCCAAGUUCUAUAAUGAAAAAUUUCCCACUAGUAAAUGAAAAUGACAACAUAGAAGACUUUCUAUCAUAAAGACCAUGGUGCUAUUUCGAGCACAAGUGUGGAAAAAGAUAGUAGCAUUGUCCCCCCCCCCUUUUUGGGCCUUUUUUUGUUUGGCCUUUCUUUUUUUAUUAGGGACAAUGCUCUAAAAAUGAUGAUCAUCACACUUCUAUUUAAUUACAACUCAUGAAUUACAACUCGAUACUAGAACAUAGUAUGACUCUAUAUGAAUGCCUCCGGCAGUGUACGAGGAUAUGCGAUGACUCAAGAGUGACAUGUAUAAAAAUUAUGCAUGGUGGCUUUGCCACAAAUACGAUGUCAACUACAUGAUCAUGCAAAAAGCAAUAUGACAAUGAUGAUGUGUGUCAUGAUAAAUGGAAUGGUGGAAAGUUCCAUGGCAAUAUAUCUCAGAAUGACUAUGGAAAUGUCAUAAUAGGUAGGUAUGGUGUCUGUUUUGAGGAAGAUAUAAGGAGGUUUAUGUGUGAUAGAGCAUAUCGUAUCACGGGGUUUGGAUGCACCGGCGAAGUUUGCACCAACUCUCAAGGUGAGAAAGGGCAAUGCACGGUACCAUAGAGGCUAUCAAUGAUGGAAGGUGAGAGUGCGUAUAAUCGAUGGACUCAACAUUAGUCAUAAAGAACUCAUAUACUUAAUGCAAAAGUUUUAUUAGCCCUCGAAGCAAAGUACUACUACGCAUGCUCCUAGGGGGGAGGUUGGUAGGAGUUAACCAUCGCGCGCCCCCGACCUCCACACAAGGGAAGACAAUCAAAAGAGCACUCCAUGCAAUAAAUUUGUUACACAACUUUUACCAUACGUGCAUGCUACGGGACUUGCCAACUUCAACACAAGUAUUAUUUAAAUUCACAAUUACCCAACUAGCAUGACUCUAAUAUUACCACCUACAUAUCUCAAAACAAUUAUCAAGUAUUAAAUUGAUCAUAGCAUCCAAUUCACUUUCUAUGAUAGUUUUAAUUAUACCCAACUUGGAUGCCCAUCAUUCUAGGACCAAUUUUAUAACCAUAGCAAAUACCAUGCUGUUCUAAAAGACUCUCAAAAUAAUAUAAGUGAAGCAUGAUAGAUCAACAAUUUCUACAAAAUUAAACCACCGCCGUGCUCUAAAAGAUAUAAGUGAAGUACUAGAGCAAAACUAUCUAGCUCAAAAGAUAUAAGUGAAGCACCUAGAGUAUUCUAAUAAAUUUCAAAUCAAGUAUUUCUCUCCCGAUAGGUUUGUACAGCAAGGAUGAUUGUGGAAAUCUAGAAAUCAAAUACUAAUAUCAUACAAGAUGCUCCAAGCAAAACACAUAUCACGUGGUAAAUAAAAAUAUAGCUCCAAGUAAAGUUACCGAGAAACGAAGACAAAAGAGGGGAUGCCUUCCGGGGCAUCCCCAAGCUUAGGCUUUUGGUUGUCCUUGAAUAUCUUGGGGUGCCAUGGGCAUACCCAAGCUUAGGCUUUUGCCACUCCUUAUUCCAUAGUCCAACAAAUCUUUACCCAAAACUUGAAAACUUCACAACACAAAACUCAAUAGGAAAUCUCAUAAGCUCCGUUAGUGCAAGAAAGAAAAACCACCACAUAAGGUACUGUAAUGAACUCAUUAUUUAUUUAUAUUGGUGUUAAACCUACUGUAUUACAACUUCUCUAUGGUUCAUACCCCACGAUACUAGCCAUAGAUGCAUCAAAAUAAGCAAACAACACACGAAAAACAGAAUCUGUCAAAACACAACAGUCUGUAGCAAUCUGUAACUUUCGAAUACUUAAGGAACCUUAAAAAUCCUACAAAAUAGUACGUCCUAGGUAAUUUGUCUAUUGAUCUACAGAAAAAAGAAUCAAUGCAAAAGCACGUUUCUGUGGUUUAUUGAUUUUUUUCUCAUGCAAGCAAAGUUUCUGUUUUUCAGCAGAAUCAAGUUAACUUUCACCCAAGGUUAUCCUAUAGGUUCUACUUGGCACAAACACUAAUUAAAACAUAAAAACACAUCUAACCAGAGACUAAAUAAAAUAUUUAUUACUAAACAGGAACAAAAAUAAAAUUGGAUUGCCUCCCAACAAGCGCUAUCGUUUAACGCCCCUAGCUAGGCAUAAAAGCGAGAAUAGAUCUAAGUAUUGCCAUCUUUGGCAUUCAAUUCAUACGUGGCUCACAUAAUAGAUUCAUAAGGUAAUUUAAUUUUCUUUCUAGGAAAGUAUUCCAUGCCUUUCCUUAACGUAAAUUGGAAUCUAAUAUUCCCUUCCUUCAUAUCAAUGAUUGCACCGAUCGUUCUAAGGAAAGGCCUACCAAGAAUAAUAGGACACAAAAGAUUGCAAUCAAUAUCAAGAACGAUAAAAUCUACGGGCACAUAAUUCCUAUUUGCAACACUAAGAACAUCAUUGAUCCUUCCCAUAGGUUUCCUAAUGGUGGAAUCCGCAAGGUGCAAAUUUAAAGAGCAAUCAUCAAAAUCAUGGAAACCUAGCAUAUCACAUAAAGUUCUCGGAAUCGUGGAAACACUAGCACCCAAAUCACACAAAGCAUAGCAUUCAUGAUCUUUUAUUUUAAUUUUUAUACUAGGUUCCCACUCAUCAUAAAGUCUUCUAGGUAUAGAAACUUCCAAAUUAAGUUUUUCCUCAUAAGAUUGCAUCAAGGCAUCAACGAUAUGUUUAGUAAAAGCUUUAUUUUGGCUAUAAGCAUGAGGAGAAUUCAACACGGAUUGCAACAAGGAAAUACAAUCUAUUAAAGAGAAAUUAUCAUAAUUAAAUUCCUUGAAAUCCAAAGUGGUGGGUUCAUUACUAUGCAAAGUUUUAAUUUCUCCAAUCCCACUUUUACCAAUUUUAGCAUCAAGAUCAAAAUACUCCACAUUAUCGGAACGCUUUUUAACCAAAGUUGAUUUACUUCUAGUCCCAUCAUUAUCAAGAUUCAUAUUGAAAAAUAAAGAUUUAAUAGGGGACACAUCAAUAACUUUUAGAUCUUCAUCAUUAUUUUCAUGAAAACUAGAAGAACAUGCUCUAACAAAGCAAUCUUUCUUAGCACGCAACCUAGCGGUUCUUUCUUUGCACCCAUCAAUGGAAAUUCUCAUAGCUUUGAGAGACUCAUUGAUAUCAUGCUUAGGAGGAAUAGAUCUAAGUUUCAAAGAAUCAACAUCAAGAGAAAGUCUAUCAACGUAGCCAAUUCAUCAACUUUAAGCAAUUUUUCUUCAAGCAAAGCAUUAAAAUUCUUUUGAGAGAUCAUAAAUUCUUUAACAAUAAUCUAAAAAUUAGAGGGCAUCUUAUUAAAAUUUCCAUAAGAAUUGUUAUAGGAAUUACCAUAAUUAUUAGAGGAAUUAUUAGGAAAUGGUCUAGGAUUGAAGUUUCCUCUAUAAGCAUUGUUACUAAAAUUAUUCCUACCAACAAAAUUCACAUCCAUAGAUUCAUUAUUAUUGUCAAUCUAAGUAGACAAAGGCAUAUCAUUAGGAUCAAUAGUGGCACUUUUAGUAGCAAACAGUUUCAUAAGUUCAUCCAUCUUUCCACUCAAAACAUUAAUUUCCUCUAUAGCAUGAACUUUUUUACUAGUAGAUCUUUCGGUGUGCCAUUGAGAAUAAUUAACCAUAAUAUUAUGAAGGAGUUUUGUAGCUUCUCCUAAAGUGAUUUACAUAAAAGUGCCUCCUGCGGCCGAAUCUAAAAGAUUUCUAGAAGCAAAAUUUAAUCUGGCAUAAAAGUUUUUUAUGAUCUUCCAUAAAUUCAAACCAUGAGUAGGGCAACUGCGAAUCAUUAAUUUCAUUCUCUCCCAAGAUUGUGCAACAUGCUCAUGAUCAAGUUGUUUAAAAUUCCUAAUAUCAUUUCUAAGAGAGAUGAUCUUAGCGGGAGGAAAAUAUUUAGAGAUAAAAGCAUCUUUGCACUUAUUCCAAGAAUUAAUACUAUUUUUAGGCAAAGACGAAAACCAAGUUUUUGCACGAUCUCUAAGUGAAAAUAGAAAUAACUUCAAUUUAACAAUAUCAUUAUCCAUAUCUUUCUUCUUUUGCAUAUCACACAAAUUAACAAAAUUGUUUAGAUGAGUAGCGACAUCUUCACUAGGAAGGCCGGAGAAUUGAUCUUUCAUAACAAGACUCAACAAAGCAGCAUUGAUUUCACAAGUUUCAACAUCAUUAAGAGGAGCGAUCGAAGUGCUAAGGAAAUCAUUAUUAUUGGUAUUGGAAAAGUCACACAAUUUGGUAUUAUCUUGCGCCAUCGUGACAAGCAAUCCAACACACAAGCACACAAAAGGCAAGCGAAAGAGAGAGGAGAACGGGAAAGAGAGGGUGAAUAAAACAGCAAGGGUGAAGUGGAGGAGAGGAAACCGAGAGGCAAAUGGCAAUAAUGUAAUGCGAGGGAGAUGAGUUUGUGAUGGGUACUUGUAUGUCUUGACUUGAGCGAAGACCUCCCCGGCAACAGCGCCAGAAAUCCUUCUUGCUACCUCUUGAGCUUGCGUUGGUUUUCCUUGAAGAGGAAAGGGUGAUGCAGCAUAGUAGCAUAAGUAUUUCCCUUAGUUUUUGAGAACCAAGUCAUCAAUCCAGUAGGAGGCUCCUCAAAAGUCCCACGCACCUACACAAACAAACAAGAACCACGCAACCAACGCGAUAAAGGGGUUGUCAAUCCCUUCACUGUAACUUGCGAAAGUGAGAUCUGAUAGAGAUAAUAUGAUAAGACAUAUAUUUUUGGUAUUUUUAUGAUAUAGAUUGGAAAGUAAAAGAUGGAAAUAAAAGUAGAUGAAAAACUUAUAUGAUAAAAGAUAGACCCGGGGGCCAUAGGUUUCACUAGUGGCUUCUCUCAAGAUAGCAUAAGUAUUACGGUGGGUGAACAAAUUACUGUCGAGCAAUUGAUAGAAAAGGGCAGAGUUAUGAGAUUAUCUAGGCAUGAUCAUGUAUAUAGGCAUCACGUCCGCAACAAGUAGACCGACUCCUGCCUGCAUCUACUACUAUUACUCCACACAUCGACUGACUCCUGCCUGCAUCUAGAGUAUUAAGUUCAUGAAGAACAUAGUAACGCAUUAAGAAAGAUGACAUGAUGUAGAGGGAUAAACUCAUGCAAUAUGAUAUAAGUCCCAUCUUUUUAUCCUCGAUGGCAACAAUACAAUACACGCCUUGAUGCCCCUACUGUCACUGGGAAAGGACACCGCAAGAUUGAACCCAAAGCUAAGCACUUCUCCCAUGGCAAGAAAGAUCAAUCUAGUAGGCCAAACCAAACUGAUAAUUCGAAGAGACUUGCAAAGGUAACCAAUCAUACGUAAAAGAAUUCAGAGGAGAUUCAAAUAUUUCUCAUAGAUAAACUUGAUCAUAAACCCACAAUUCAUUGGAUCUCGACAAACACAUCACAAAAAGAGUUACAUCGAAUAGAUCUCCAAGAAGAGGAAGGAGAACUUUGUAUUGAGAAUCAAAGAGAGAGAAGAAGCCAUCUAUCUAAUAACUAUGGACCCGGAGGUCUAUGGUAAACUACUCACAACUCAUCGGAGAGGCCUUGGUGGUGAUGGAGAGGCCCUCCAUGGUCGAGUCCCCCUCUGAUGGAGCACCAGCGAAGGCUGCAAGAUGGGAUCUCGUGGAUACAGAAGGUUGCGGCGGUGGAAAUAGUUUUUCCUGAUGCUCGUGGAUGUUUUCGGGGUAUGUAGAUAUAUAUAGGCAAAGGAAGUUGGUCAGGGGAGCCACGAGGGGCCCAUGAGGCAGGGGGGCGCCCACCCUUACUGGGCGCUAGCCACCCUCGUGGCUGCCUCGGCUGCUUCUUGACGUCCACUCCAAGUCUCCUGGAUUGCGUUUGUUCCAAAAAGAUUGCUCCCGAAGGUUUCAUUCCGUUUGGACUCUGUUUGAUAUUCCUUUCCUUCGAUAUACUGAAAUAGGCAAAAAAAACAGCAAUUCGGGCUGGGCCUCCGAUUAGUAGGUUAGUCUCAAAAACGAUAUAAAAGUGUAAAGUAAAGCCCAUAAACAUCCAAAACAGGUAAUAUAAUAGCAUGGAACAAUAAAAAAUUAUAGAUACGUUGGAGACGUAUCAGAUGCCCAUCAUAUUAGGACUAACUUUAUAACCAAAGCAAAUUACCAUGUUGUUCUAAAAGACUGAAGCAUGCAACAUCAACAAUUUCUAUAAAAUAAAACCAUCGUCGUGCUCUAAAAAGAUAUAAGUGAAGCACUAGAGCAAUAUUGUCUAGCUCAAAAGAUAUAAGUGAAGCACAUAGAGUAUUCUAAUAAAUCACGAUUCAUGUGUCUCUCUCCAAAAAGGUGUGUACAACAAGGAUAAUUGUGGUAAACUAAAAUGCAAAGAAUCAAAUCAUACAAGACGCUCCAAGCAAAGCACAUAUCAUGUGGUGAAUAAAAAUAUAGCCUCAAGUAAAGUUACCGAUAGACGAAGACGAAAGAGGGGAUGCCUUCCGGGGCACCCCCAAGCUUAGGCUUUUGGUUGUCCUUGAAUUUUACCUUGGGGGUGCGUUGGGAAUCCCCAAGCUUAGUCUCUUGACACUCCUUAUUCCAAAGUCCAUCAAAUCCUUACCCAAAACUUGAAAACUUCACAACACAAAACUUCAACAAAAAAUCUCAUGAGCUCCGUUAGUAUAAGAAAAUAAAUCACCACUUCAAGGUACUGUAAUGAACUCAUUCUUUAUUUAUAUUUGUGUAAAACCUACUGUAUUCCAACUUCUCUAUGGUUCAUACCCCCAGAUACUACUUGUCGUGGAAUUAUCACGUCAGAUGUCCUAGUGUGAGGACUUAGUCGUGGAGCCAUCGCGAUCGGGUUAGCUUAGAGGGGUUAAACCGGACAAAGGACACGGGGAGUUUAUACUGGUUCGUCCCCUUGUGGUGAAGGUGAAAGCUACGAUCCAGUUGUGGUGGAAUUGAUGUGGUCUCGAUAACCAGGGAGCGAAUACGCUUUGCCUAGUUCUCGAGUUAUUGUUUCUUGUCCCUGAACCGCCGCCGGGUCGUCCCUAUAUAUACACAAGUUGACGCCCGGCCGAUCUACAGAAUCCCGAGGCCGGCUCAUACAAGUGUUCGACUCGGUUUCUUCCUUUACCUAUCUUACAACACAAGUCACACGCCUUAUGGCGGUUUACAUCUAUGGGCCCUAAUCCGCCAUUGGGCUCUGGGCCUCUAAGCCUCCAUAGUUAAAGCGACAUAGUCUUCGUCUUCAUGGGCUUCUAUAUAGAUGACUGCUUGUGAGUAUAAUUCGGCCCCUCCUGGGCGGUUUAAACUCCGUAGUUAUAUCCCCAACAUUAGGCCCCAAAUUGGUUUGAACUUGUUCAUGUCAAUCUUCAACUUUGAGAAAUUCUAAUUUGAACAUCUUCGUGUUGACCUUGUAAAUCGCCGUGACGUCAUCUUCUGGAAUCGCUGUAAACCGCCAUGACGUCAUCUUCAUAUGCAAACCUGUAAAUGCUUUUGUUAUUAAUCGAUUUCCGAAGAUCGAGGCGACAGCUGUGCCCCAUUCUCCGUUUUGAGCUCAUCGAUUGCCGCGCCUGCCUACUUUAUCCCUUUGCCUUAUAAAUAGGUCCAACAGGUCUUCUUAUUUCCCCUUCCGCGCCUCUUCGCAUCUUCUUCUUCCUCACGACGCCCGAGCCCUAAAGCUCUGCCGCCGUCCUCGUCCUUCAAGCUCUGCAUCACCGCUGGCCGCUACAUCAACCUGAACAUACCAGAUAAAUGCGACGCCUCUUCUGCUACUCAUGUGAAGCCGAUAAGCCUUCCUUCUUCAACCCUUGAUCUGCAUUAGGGUUUCACACCUUUGUCAGUGUUCAUCAGUGUUCGUCGGCAUUCGUUGCUUUCCCUUACUGUCCCGUUGUAUCUUGACGAAUCUUGACAUCUUCUCCACGCGGCCGAAACUAUAGUUUUACUUUUCCUCACCAUAGUAUCUCUUCGUUCAUGAACAGAUCCCAUCUGGACCUUUGCUGUUCUGCUGUCGCCAUUUUAGGGCUCUGAAAUUUUCCUUUUUCUGAACUAUGCUAGAUCCGUAAUUAUAACUUUAGCCUGUGAAACCUGUUUCUACAGCACUUAGUAAUUUUCAGAUAUGUUUCUUCCAUACCACUAUAGGCAGUUUAACCUUUAGAAAAUUAUAAUCCGCCAGGUACCAUUAGCCCUCUCUCAAACCGACAACUUUACUUUAACCUUAAUAUCCGGUUUAACAUGUACAUAUGCUCUGAUUGACUCCUUCCCCCAGCAUGACACCGGUUUAUGCAUGUCAGUCAUGAACCGUAAACCGGUGUUUGAACUUCUUUUUCAGCUUGUCAUCAAAAAUGGCCAAACAGUUUUCCUCUUGCAAUUGGGUUCCCUCCCGGGUUACCGAAGAGCAACUGACAGGGUAUGUUCAGACCGGCGCUUUAGCAAACCAAGAAACCAUCCAUUGGCGAGUCCCGGGUACUGAGAAUCCUCCUGAACCUCAAGAUGGAGAAGUAAUUGUGUUUGUACAUCAUCUGGACCGAGGGUUCAGCCCUCUCGGAUCAAAAAAUUUCCGUGAAGGUUAAGGUGGCGGAAAUAUUUCUUUUGUGGCUCCUUGGAUGUAUUCGGGGUACGUAGGCUUAUAUAGGAGGAAGAAGAACGUCGGUGGAUGCCCGAGGGGCCCACGAGACAGGGGGCGCGCCCUAUAGGGGGGGCGCCCUCCUAUCUUGUGGAAGCUUCGGCUGCUUCUUGACUUACACUCCAAGUCCUCUGGAUCACGUUCGUUCCAAAAAUCACGCUACCGAAGGUUUCAUUCCGUUUGGACUCCGUUUGAUAUUCAUUUUCUUCGAAAUACUGAAAUAGGCAAAAAAAACAGCAAUACGGGCUGGGCCUCCGGUUAGUAGGUUAGUCCCAAAAAUGAUAUAAAUGUGUAAAAUAAAGCCCAUAAACAUCCAAAAUAGGUAAUAUAAUAGCAAGGAACAAUCAAAAAUUAUAGAUACAUUGAAGACGUAUCAAGCAUCCCCAAGCUUAAUUCCUGCUCGUCCUCGAGUAGGUAAAUGAUAAAAAAGAAAUUUUUGAUGUGGAAUGCUACCUAGAAUAAUUCUCAAUGUAAUUUUCUUUAUUGUGGCAUGAAUGUUCAGAUCCAAAUGGUCCAAUAUAAAAGCUUAUAAAACAUAAAAAUAAUAAUGCUUCAAAGCAUACUAACAAAUAAUCAUGUCCUAUCAAAAUAACAUAGCCAAAGAAAGCUUAUCCCUACAAAAUCAUAUAGUUAGGUCAUGCUUCAUUUCCAUUACACAAAAUACUCCCAUCAUGUACAACCCCGAUGACGAGCCGAGCAAUUGGUUCAUACUAUUUAACGCUCUUCAGCUUUUUCAACUAUUGCGCAAUACAUGAGCGCAAGCCAUGGACAUAGCACUAUGGUGGUCUAUUGUGGUGGUUGUAAGGACAAAAAGAGGGAGAAGAUAGUCUCACAUCAACUAGGCGUAUCAACGGGCUAUGGAGAUGCCCAUCAAUAGAUAUCAAUGUGAGUGAGUAGGAAUUGCCAUGCAACGGAUGCACUAGAGCUAUAAAUGUAUGAAAGGUCAACAAAAGAAAGUAAGCGGGUGUGCAUCCAACUUGCUUGCUCACGAAGACCUAGGGCACUUUGAGGAAGCCCAUCAUUGGAAUAUACAAGCCAAGUUCUAUAAUGAAAAAUUCCCACUAGUAUAUGAAAGUGACAACAUAGGAGACUCUCUAUCAUGAAGAUCAUGGUGCUAUUUUGAAGCACAAGUGUGGAAAAAGAGAUAGUAGCAAUUGUCUCUUCUCUCUUUUUCUCUCAUUUUUUUCUUUUUUUUCCUUUUUUUCUUCUUUUUUUCUUCUUUUUUUUCUUUUUUUUGUGGGCUUCUUUGGCCUCUUUUAUUUUUAUAAAGUCCGAAGUCUCAUCCCGACUUGUGGGGGAAUCAUAGUCUUCAUCAUCCUUUCCUCACUGGGACAAUGCUCUAAUAAUGAAGAUCAUCACACUUUUAUUGGUUUACAACUCAAAAAUUACAACUCAAAGCUAGAACAAGAUAUGACUCUAUAUGAAUGCCUCCGGAGGUGUACUGGGAUAUGCUAUGAAUCAAGAGCGACAUGUAUGAAAAUUAUGAAGGUGGCCUUGCCACAAAUACGAUGUCAACUACAUGAUCAUGCAAAGAGCAAUAUGAUAAUGAUGAAACGUGUCAUAAUAAACGGAACGGUGGAAAGUUGCAUGGCAAUAUACCUCGGAAUGGCUAUGGAAAUGCCAUAAUAGGUAGGUAUGGUGGCUGUUUUGAGGAAGGUAAAUAAUGGGUACAUGAUACCGGUGAAAGUUGCACGGUAAAAUAGAGUCUAGCAAAAUGGAAGGAUGAGUGUGCGUAUAUCCAUGGACUCACAUUAGUCAUAAAGAACUCAUAUACUUAUUGCAAAAGUCUACUUAGCCCUCGAAGCAAAUUACUACUACGCAUGCCCCAAGAGGGAUAGAUUGGUAGGAAAAAAUUCCAUCGCUCGUCCCCAACUGCCACUCAUAAGGAAGACACUCAAAAGAGCACCUCAUGCAACAAAUUUGUCACACAACUUUUACCAUACGUGCAUGCUAUGGGACUUGCCAACUUCAACAACAUUAUUUCUCAAUUUCAUAAUUAUCCACUAGCAUGACCCUAACAUUACUACCUUUAUAUCUCAAAACAAUUAUCAAGCAUCAAAUUGAUCCUAGCAUCCAAUUCAUUUUCUAUGAUAGUUUUUAUUAUACCCAACUUGGAUGCUCAUCAUUCUAGGACCAAAUUCAUAACCAAAGAAAAUACCAUGCUGUUCUAAGAGACUCUCAAAAUAAUAUAAGUGAAGCAUGAGAUACUAGCAAUUUCUUCAAAAUUAAUCCACCGCCAUGCUCUAAAAGAUAUAAGUGAAGUACUAGAGCAAAAACUAUCAAGCUCAAAAGAUAUAAGUGAAGCACAUAGAGUAUUCUAGCAAAUCCUAAUCAAAUAGGCUUCUCCCAAAAGGUGUGUACAGCAAGGAUGAUUGUGGUAAACUAACAAGCAAAGACUAAUAUAAUACACGACGCUCCAAGAAAAACACAUAUCAUGUGGCGAAUAAAAAUAUAGCUCCAAGUAAAGUUACCAAUGAACAAAGACGAAAGAGGGGAUGCCUUCCCGGGGCAUCCCCAAGCUUAGGCUUUUGGCUAUCCUUGAAUAUCUUGGGGUGCCUUGGGCAUCCCCAAGCUUAGGCUCUUGCCACUCCUUAUUCCAUAGUCCAUAAAAGCUUUACCCAAAACUUGAAAACUUCACAACACAAAACUCAACAAGAAAUCUUAUAAGCUCUGUUAGUGAAAGAAAACAAAACCAUCACAUAAGAUAUUGUAAUGAACUCAUUAUUUAUUUAUUUUGGUAUUAAACCUACUGUAUUCCAACUUCUCUAUGGUUUAUAAACUAUUUUACUAGCCAUAGAUGCAUCAAAAUAAACAAACAACACACGAAAAACAGAAUCUAUCAAAAACAGAAAGUCUGUAGCAAUCUGUAACUAACGAAAACUUCUGGAACUCUAAAAAUCCUACCAAAAUAGGACGUACUGGACAAUUUUUUAUUGAUCAGCAUCAAAAAGAAUCAAUGCAAAAUCUCGUUUCUGUGAUUUAUUGAUUUUUUUCUUGUGAGCGCAAAGUUUCUGUUUUUCAGUAGAAUCAAAUCAACUAUCAUCAUAGUUUAUCCUAUAGGUUCUACUUGGCACAAACACUAAAUAAAAGAUAAAAACACAUCUAAACAGAAAGUAUAUGCAAUAUUUAUUACUAAACAGGAGCAAAAACAAAAAACAUAAAGAAAAUUGGGUUGCCUCCCAACUAGCGCUAUCGUUUAACGCCCCUAGCUAGUCAUAAAAGCGAAGAUAGAUCUAAGUAGUGCCAUCUUUGGCAAUUGAUUCAUAAGUAGCCCGCAUGAUAGAUUAAUAAGGUAAUUUGACUUUCUUUCUUGGAAAGUGCUCCAUACCUUUCUUUAAUGGAAAUUGGAAUCUAAUAUUCCCUUUCUUCAUAUCAAUAAUCGCGCCAAUCGUUCUAAGGAAAGGUCUACCAAGAAUAAUAGGGCAAGAAAGAUUGCAAUCUAUAUCAAGAACGAUAAAAUCAACGGGCACCAAAUUUCUAUUUGCAACAGUUAGAACAUCAUUGAUCCUUCUCAUUGGCUUUUUAAUGGUGGAAUCCCCAAGGUGCAAAUUUAAAGAGCAAUCAUCAAGAUCAUGGGAACCUAGAAUAUCACAUAGAGUUUUCGGAAUCGUGGAAACACUAGCACCCAAAUCACACAAAGAAAAACACUCAUAAUCUUUAAUUUUAAUCUUUAUAGUAGGUUCCCACUCAUCAUUAAGCUUUCUAGGUAUAGAAACUUCCCAAUUAAGUUUUUCAUCAUAAGAUUGCAUCAAGGCAUCAACGAUAUGUUUGGUAAAAGCUUUAUUUUGACUAUAAGCAUGAGGAGAAUUAAAAACGGAUUGCAACAAAGAAAUACAACUUUCUAAAGAACAAUUAUCAUAAUAAAACUCCUUGAAAUCCGAGAUAGUGGGUUCAAUGCUAUUUAAAGUCAUGACCUCUCCAAUCCCACUUUUACCAAAUUUAGCAUCAAGAUCUAAAAACUCCGAAUUCUUGGGACGCCUUCUAGGUAAAGUUGACUCAUCAUCAGUCCCAUAAUUAUCAAGAUUCAUAUUGCAAAACAUAGAGCUAAUAGGAGACGCAUCAAUAACUUUAAGAUCUUCAUCAUUAUUUUCAUCUAACUUUUCUGGUUUUGUCGUGGAAAUAUCACGUCAGAUGUCCUCGUGAAAGGACUUAGUCGUGGAGCCAUCGCAACGGGUUAGCUUAAAGGGGUUAAACUGGACAAAGGACACGAGGGUUUUAUACUAGUUCGGCCCCUUCGAUGAAGGUAAAGGCCUACGUCUAGUUGUGUUGGGAUUAUUGGGGUUUUGAUAACCAGGGAGGUAAACACGCUAUGCCUGGCUCUCGAGUUGUUGUUUCUUGUCCCUGAACCGCCGCCGGGUCGUCCCCUUAUAUACACGGGUUGAUGCCCAGCCGGUCUACAGAGUCCGAGGCCGGCUCAUACAAGUGUCCGGCUCGGUAUCUCCUUUCCUAUCUUACAAUACAAGUUACAUGACUAUGGCAGUUUACCACUAUGGGCCCUAAUCCGCCUUUGGGCCCCAGGUCUCUAAGCUUCAUAGUAAAGCGCCAUCUUCUGGGUCUUCCUGGGCUUCAAUAUAGUUGAGUGUGAACCGGCCCCUCCUGGUAGGUUUAUACUCAGUAGUUAUAUCCCCAACAUUAGGCCCCGGAUUGAUUUGAACCUGUUCAUGUCAAUCUUCAGUACUUAGAAAAAUCCUGUGAACAUCUUCCUUCAUUUCUCGUAAACCGCCAUGAUGUCUUCUCUUAUAACUUUGUUAAACCACUGUGACGUCAUCCUGUGGACACAGCAACGGAUCAUCAUGACAUCAUCCAUGUAUAAAAAUAUUAAAAAGAUUCCCUUCAUUUAAUGAUAUCCCAGAGAUCGAGGCGACAGCUGCACCCUUUUUUGCCGCUUCAGGCUCCUCGAUUCUCGCGCCUGCCACUUAUCCUUUUCUCCUUAUAAAUAAAGCCGGCGGGUCUUUACAUUCUCUCCCCUUGCCUCUUCUUCUUCCUCUCGCAAACCCCUGCCGCUCGAGCUCUGCCGCCGCCACAGAGCGCACCGUCGUCUUCAUCCCCGGCCGCUGCAUCAUCCUGAAUCGAACCAGAGCUCGCGGCAUCCCUCCGCAGUAGAUCUGUACUGGUAAGUUUUCCCUCUUCCACACCUUUAGAUCUAUGCUAGGUUAGCGAGUUCAUCUGUACAGUUCGUUGUUCAUCUCUAUUCUUCGCAUUUGCUUUUGCCGUAGUUUCUUUGAUCCAACAACGGUGUAGAUCUCGUGCGGAAGUUGCCCCGUAUCCAUUUUUAACACUAGUAGAUCUUCCUUCUUUGUAAAGAAUCCUCAGUAAAACGCAUGAACUUCUCCAUCCUGCUUAACACCAUUAUAGGUCACAAAAAAAUUUCUUUAUUGAAGCAUGGUAGAUCCAAAAUAGUUUCAUCAUUGUGUGAAACUUGUUUAUGCAACACUUAGCAAAUUUUCAGCUCUGUUGCUUCCCUCAUAAGAGGUUUAACUCAUCGAGAAUCAUAAUCUGCCUGAUACCAUUAGCCCUCACUUAAACCGUCGUCCAACUUGUGUAGCCAUAGCCGGUUUAACAUGCUUAUUUCCCGUUUUAACUCUGGUUGAUAAACAUCAACUUUGAAUCGUAAACCGUCUUUUGUACCUUAUUUUCAGUUUGCUUUCGAAUAUGUCAAAGCAAUUCGCCGCGUGCAACUGGGUUCCGUCCCGGAUCACUGAGACACAGCUUAAUGGGUAUGUCUUAACCGGUGCUUUGGCCAAGAAAGAUGUUCUCCAUUGGCGAGUUCCUGGCCCUGAAUGUCCUCCAACACCUCAACCCGGAGAAGUGAUUGUGUUCAUGCAGCAUCUGGACCGGGGCUUUAGCCCGCCCGGUUCAAAGUUUUUCCGGGAUGUGCUCGCUAGCUUUCAACUUCAUCCUCAGGAUAUUGGACCAAACUCUGUGUCAAACAUAUGCAACUUUCAAGUAUUCUGCGAAGUUUAUCUUCAAGAGGAGCCAACCGUGGAGCUUUUCAGAGAUUUUUUCCACUUAAACCGCCGGACCGAAUUCUCUGACGGUCCCAAUACUGAACUGGGCGGCGUAUCAAUUCAAAAAAGGAAAGAAAUUGACUUUCCUCAUGCAAAACACCACAACCAUCCAAAAGACUGAAUAAUACCUGGUUUUACUGUGUGAACACUGCCCCUGCUGAGGAGAACCCUUUGCCGGGCUAUCGUGCUGAACAGCUAAGCAACAAUCAUAUACUGCCUCCAAGGCUCACCGCUAAAGAGCGGCAAGCUUAUGCUCCGCAAAUCAUUAAGCUCCGGGCCCUCCUAGCGAACUGUUUAACCGGCAUCGACCUUGCUCGAUGUUGGGUUUCAUGGGGUAUCCUUCCCUUAAGCCGUCGCUCCAGUUUGAUGUAUAAAUGUACCGGAGAUAUAAAAGACCCUCUGUGGUCCAAUGAAAUAGAAAAGACUGACGAGGAAGUUACUAAAGCGGUAAAGAAAAUGUUGGACGAACCGAUUGCUCAGUGCAGCAAGACCGGAUUGGCUCCUUUCUGUACUUCCAACAAACCACGUUAAGUAAGAUUUUUAUCCCUUUCCACCCUUAUUGAACCGUUUCUGUUUUAACUUCAGUCUGAUAAUCCUUUGCUUAUUUGUUUGCAGUCCAACAACUCUUUCUGGAAGAAAAAACCUUCAGACAAACCGGUGAGGACUCAACGCCAAAAGACUAAAGCUGUAAAGAAGGCGGGCAAGAAGAAAAUUGGCGAGUCUUCUGAUCCGCCUGAGGAUGUAAAUGAAUCGGAGAACGAGGUAGAACUUGACUCCCUUGGCUCAUUUUUUGUACAUCUUCUUGACAAUGAUUAUUACCAGGAUGAUACGGAAGCCAGACGUGCGGACCAUGUUGAGGUAAUCAUCCUUUCUUCCGAUUCAGAACAUGUGCCGGUUCAAAGACUUCGUUGUACAGUUCGAAAAGUAAAAUAUUCUCACCCUCUUGGUCAUUUGGAUCCACAAUUUUCUUUGAAGACACAGUAACAUGAAGGUCGUCGCACAACCCGAUACAGCGGCCAACAGGUCACUUCUUCCGGUUUACCGGAUACUCCAAACCGGAAGCGUUGUCCAGAGGUUUCUUGCUCCCCCGAAAGUCUUUACCCCUUGAAGGGUUGCUUCCGUGACCCUCUUAGUCCGUCUGACUCAAAUUACCAGGUGUCUUCCCAUUCUUCAUCUGGCGGUUCAUCCACCACCCAGAUGCCUCCUCUUAAGACCGUCCCUGGGUAAGGAUGUUGUCUUUAACUUUGUCUUAUUACACCGGUUUACCAAACUAACCUCUUGUGUUAAUAUCACAGUGCCAAAGCUCGUCUAAGCAAGAAGCCAAAGACCACUGUCCCAACUGAAGAAGUUGAUACGGACAGAAUUUCAGAAGGUGCUAAUAAAGAAGCUGACAUUGCCAUUGAUGAUCCUGUACCUCCAAGUCAGGAUACAUAUGUUGAAGCUCUAGAAGUCAAUCUGCCCAGCCCGCAUGCUGAUCCUCCAAGCCCAGCCAAGGGCGACAACGUGCCAAGCCCGACCAGAGAUACUGUCAAUCCGCCACCCCCUCAAAAGGUGGUGAUGAUGAUGUUGUUAUCACUGGUCAUGGUUUCACUGCCCCUGGCAAUCCAGUUGCUCUAUCAAAGCAUACUGCCAAGGAGGAAUUUGCAGCUAUGGGCAAGGGCAAAGGAAAGACAGACUUGUCCAGCUUUGUUGAUCUGAGCGCCAAGGAACUUCAUUCCGGAUUUUUAAACCGCCUCUUCACAAGCCGGGAUUAUGAGGCCGGUUUGGUGAAUUUAAUGAAAGAGCGCUAUGAGGUAAUCUUCAAAACACUUCAAUUUAGCUUGCAAUGCAUGUCCAUUCCAUAGUAGCCCCCAAGGGCCGGUUUAUCUUAAUAAGAUGAACUGGGACUUUCUGUUUAACACUUUAUCUUAUCCAUUGCCUUCAGCUUGUACUUUAACAGAUCAAUUAGGCAUUAGCCCCCAAGUGCCAAGUUGAAUACUUGUAUUGAACCUUGGGACUUUCAAAUAUCCGGUCUAAGAAGCAAUCCGCAUUAGCCCCCAAGUGCCAAGUGUAUAACUUGUUAUGUACUUGGUACUUGUAAAAAUGUUAACCGCUUUAGCAUCUUGCUUUGUAGGCUGAUAUAAAGACCAAAGAGUCUCAACUCGCCAAUCUUCAAGAAAAUAUUAAAUUCCAGCAAGAAGAGACCUUGAAAGCCAAAGAGGAGCUAAAGGGCGCUUUGACAACCAUGGAACAACUGAAAGAGGGCUUCAAAAUUGAACACACCAAUUGGGAGACUGAAAGGGCUGCUCUAUUGAAGUGGGCUGAAGACGCCGAAACGGCCCUUAAACCGGUUGAGGAAGAGCUGACUGGGCUGAAACGUCAAGUGAACGCCAUGACAACCGCCGUUUUUGGUAAGUACUUUAUAAUAGCCUCCUAUGAAGUAUUUUCAACUUUGCCGGUUUAAUAUUAAGUUCUUAAACCGUCGCAGGAAAUCGCAUUGCUCAUCUAGGCACAGAUAUACGGAUGAAGUUGAAGGCUGCGUACACAUUGAUUGAGCAACUGUAUAUGGGUGCACAACGAGACAUCUCUGCAGCUUCAUACAACAAACCGACACCCACCUUGGUCAAGGAUACCUUGGUCAGGCUCUCAAUGACUCCUGCUCAGAUAGAGGAGGUGAAGCGAUCGGCUGCCACAGCGGGCACUUUACUAGCACUGACUCGUGCCAAAUCAUGGAUAGCUGACCUGGACCCAGUUGACAUCGCCAAGGGUUAUCCGGACAAACAAGAAAACGGAGCAGCAUUUGAUAACGAUGCCCUGAAGGCUUUGACCAAGGAGAUGCGUCCAGUAGCAAGUCAGUUGGGUGACGAGGUGAAUUUGACUUCGCAUCGGUCUUUCUAUGAUGCCAACAACCAUCGAGUUGACACGGCUGUGAAGGAAGUGCGGAAUCUUAUUCCGCCAAUUCGUAAGCACACUUAUGCUCCUGACGUUGAACCGUCGAAUCUUAUAAGUGAAGAGGCUGUCUUUCAAGCUUUAACCCGGAUUGACUGGACCACCAUUGACUUCCAGCCACUGGGUGGAGAGGAGGAGGCUGAACCAACGCCUGAAGAUCCAUCAACAUUACGUCAAGCCGGCGAUGAAUCUUGAUCCGGCAGUCUGGUUAUUAUCAGACUUUGUGCUGUGAAAAACAAUUAUUAUUUUGGGCCUCAAAGCGCCUUGUAAUACGCUAGUUGAAAUACUUUGCUCUCUGGUACUGAUGCAUGACUUUGUUGAUCCGUCAUGAUAUUUGUUGUGUUUGAUUACACUAUGAUGCGAUUCUGAUAUCUGCAUAGAAAAAGUUGUGCUGGCGGUUUACCACCGGACGGGUCAUAAUGCCCAAGAUAAAGCCUGGCUGAUAACCAGAGCUGAAUAAAUAUUAGAAUAUGAAAUAAAUCAUACCUGUGAUAUGAAAUCACUUAGUUGGUUUACCAACUUCAAUUGUAGUAAGGGUGAAGACCCGAACCUUGAGUUUGUAUAACUCUCACCAUGUAAUGAUGGUGUGUAAUAAGUCAUGUCGGGUUAUGAUGAACACCAGAUGAUCAAACUGGCGACAUAUAGUCAAAGCCAGGCCGGGUUUUCAAACACCGGUUUGAUGAUAUCGUCUGGCAACAUGUAGUUGAAAGCCAAGCCGGGUUAACAAACACCGGGUUAGUAUAAUGACUGAAAAGCCAGACCGGGUCAAUAGACACCGGUUUAACAUAAAAUUCUUCCAAAAAAGAGAAAGAUCUCGACAAAGGCAAAUAAAACCGUGUAGUCAAGGCUUUUCGAGGGCUGCCAGGCCCAAAUUCGAGGCUUUUCGUGGGCUGCUAGGCCGCUGAGUUAAACCAUUUAACAAAGCCUUUUAAGAUGGACCUCCAACUAACCAAUCGUCAUUUUAACUUUGACAGGUUCAGGGUCUCAAUGAGAGUAACUGUCAAACGUUCGGCGGGUCAUGCCAGGAUUACCUGGAUAGGAGUGGCUUACUUGAUGAAGCCAGGUUAACCCGGGGUUUUAGGUGAAUACACCAGGCUUCCAAGCCAUGGGUCGAUACCCAAUUACAAGGGUCCUUUCAAACUCGUUGUUACUUUACACAAAGAGCCCCCAAGUAACUUUGUGAGCUGUGCUCAUUGGUUGCGUAUGUUUGAGCUGUGCUUAGCAUCAGACUCUCUUUGGCCCCUUGGGUGUGAAGCUCCCAAGUUGUAUUGUCGCAUGAUAGCCGGUUUAACAGGUAGUACUUCGCUUUGCCAGCUGGAGCCCCCAUGUAACUCAAAAGAUAUUUGAGAAAAAACAGCAGAGGCCCUGCUUAUAGCAAGGAUGCUGGUUUAUUAUAUUGAUCAUAAUAUAUACAUUGUCGAAAUAUGUACAUAAGAGUAGCCUAUGGCUCAAGUAUAGUAAGGCCGAAGGAGAGCUAUAUUCCACGGCCGCAGGGUCUCCACCUUAGAACAACGUGAGUUGUCUCGAACGUCAAUGAGGUAGUAUGAACCAUUGUGCAAAUUCUUGCUGACCACAAAGGGCCCUUCCCAAGGUGGGGAUAACUUGUGCAUAUCGGUCUAAUCCUGGAUGAGCCGGAGCACCAAGUCGCCUUCUUGAAAGGUUCUUGUCUUAACCCGGUGGCUGUGAUAACGCCACAGGUCUUGCUGAUAAACCGCCUAACGAGCCAAAGCCAUAUCCCAUUUUUCAUCUAACAGGUCCAACGCCUCCUGGCAUGCUUGCUCAUUGUCCGCUUCAACAUAAUUGGCAACUUGGGGCGAAUCAUGACGAAUAUCACUUGGGAGGACCGCCUCUGCCCCAUAGACCAUGAAGAAAGGUGUGUAACCCGUCGAUCUAUUGGGGGGGUGUUGAUGCUCCAUAACACAGAAGGCAAUUCUUCCACCCAACAACCCGGUGUCCGCUUUAAAGGAACCAUGAGCCGGGGCUUGAUACCCUUCAAGAUUUCUUGAUUGGCUCUCUCCGCUUGACCAUUGGACUGGGGGUGCGCCACGGAUGCUAAGUCAAGCCGGAUGUGCUCUUUCUGACAGAAAUCCUCCAUCUCACCUUUAGAAAGGUUUGUGCCAUUAUCCGCGAUCAUGCUGUGUGGACAGCCAAAGCGGAAGAUAAUCUUUUUGAGAAAUUCAACCGCCGUAGCCACAUCACACUUGCUGACAGGCUCCGCUUCAACCCAUUUGGUGAAUUUGUCAACCGCCACCAGCAGGUGGGUCUUCUUAUCCUUGGAGCGCUUAAAGGGCCCCACCAUAUCAAGUCCCCAAGUGGCAAACGGCCAAGUGAUGGGUAUCAUCCUUAAUUCUUGAGCUGGAACAUGAGCGUGGCGUGAAGACUUCUGACAAGCGUCACACUGCUUUACCAGAUCCUCCGCAUCAGCAUGAGCUGUUGAUAUGUCCAUUUUGCAUCAUGCUUUUGUGAUAAUAUUUAUUGCAUUAUGGACUAUUAUUUCACGUUAUGUCAUAAUACCUAUGGCUAUUCUCUCUUAUUUUACAAGGUUUACAUGAAGGGGGAGAAUGUCGGUAGCUGGAAUUCUGGGCUGGAAAAGGAGCAAAUAUUGGAGGCCUAUUCUACGCAACUCCAAAAGUCCUGAAACUCCAUGGAAUACCUUAAAAUAAAUAAAGAAAAAUCAUCACCAAAGAUGAAGGCCAGGGGGGCCACACCCUGCUCACGAGGGUGGGGGCGCCCCCCUAGGCGUGCCCCCCUACCUCGUGGGCCCCCUGGUGGCUCUCCGACGCCCAUCUUCUCCUAUAUGAAGUCUUUCGAUGAGAAAAAAAUAGGAAGCAACCUUUCGGGACAAGACUCCGCCGCCACAAGGCGGAACCUUGGCGGAACCAAUCUAGGGCUCUGGCAGAGCUGUUCUGCCGGGGACAAUUCCCUCCGGGAGGGGGAAAUCAUCAUCAUCGUCAUCACCAAUGCUCCUCUCAUCGGGAGAGGGAAAUCUCCAUCAACAUCUUCACCAGCACCAUCUCAUCUCCAAACCCUAGUUCAUCUCUUGUAUCCAAUUCUUGUCUCCUAGUCCGGGAUUGGUGCUAGUAGUUUGCUAGUAGUGUUGAUUACUCCUUGUAGUUGAAGCUAGUUGGUUUAUUCGGUGGAAGACCAUAUGUUCAGAUCCUUUAUGCACUUUAUUACCCCUCUGAUUAUGAACAUGAAUAUGCUUUGUGAGUAAUUAUGUUUGUUCUUGAGGACAAGGGAGAAGUCUUGCUAUUAGUAGUCAUAUGAAUUUGGUAUUCGUUCAAUAUUUUGAUGAGAUGUAUGUUGUCUAGCCUCUAGUGGUGUUAUGUGAAGGUCGACUACAUAACACUUCACCAUUAUUUGGGCCUAUAGGAAGGCAUUGGGAAGUAAUAAGUAGAUGAUGGGUUGCUAGAGUGAUAGAAGCUUAAACCCUAGUUUAUGCGUUGCUUCGUAAGGGGCUGAUUUGGAUCCAUAUGUUUCAUGCUAUGGUUAGGUUUACCUUAAUACUUUUGUUGUAGUUGCGGAUGCUUGCAAUAGAGGUUAAUCAUAAGUGGGAUGCUUGUCCAAGUAAGGACAGUACCCAAGCACCGGUCCACCCACAUAUCAAAUUAUCAAAGUACCAAAGGCGAAUCAUAUGAACGUGAUGAAAACUAGCUUGACGAUAUUCCCAUGUGUCCUCGGGAGCGCUUUUCCUGUUAUAAGAGUUUGUACAGGCUUGUCCUUUGCUACAAAAAGGAUUGGGCCACCUUGAUGCACUUUAUUUACUUUUGUUACUUGUUGCUUGUUACAAUUUAUCUUAUCACAAAACUAUCUGUUACCACUUAUUUCAGUACUUGCAGAGAAUACCUUGCUGAAAACCGCUUAUCAUUUCCUUCUGCUCCUCGUUGGGUUCGACACUCUUACUUAUCGAAAGGACUAUGAUAGAUCCCCUAUACUUGUGGGUCAUCAAGACUCUUCCUGGCGCCGUUGCCGGGGAGUGAAGCGCCUUUGGUAGGUGGAAUUUGGUAAGGAAAAAUUUAUUUAGUGUGCUGAAAUUUUAUGUCACUUGUUACUAUGGAAAGCAAUUGUCUGAGGGGCUUGUUCGGGGUAUCUUCACCCUGUCUAGUAGAGCAAAGAGUUGCUCCUCAACCUACUCAACCUACUGAACCUAUUGAAAAUGAAACUCCUUUUGAGAUUCCUUCGGGUUUGAUGGAAAAACUGCUAGCUAACACUUUUACAGGAGAUGGAACAAAGCAUCCUGAUGAACAUCUACGCUAUGUGGAUGAUGUUUGUGGACUAUUUAAGCUUGCAUGUAUACCUAAUGAUGUUGUUAAGAAGAAGGCUUUCCCUUUAUCUUUGAAGGGAGACGCAUUGACAUGGUACAGACUAUGUGAUGAUACGAGAUCAUGGAACUAUAAAAGAUUGAAAUUGGAAUUUCACCAGAAGUAUUACCCUAUGCAUCUUGUUCAUCGUGAUCGCAAUUAUAUAUAUAAUUUUUGGCCUCGCGAAGGAGAAAGCAUCGCUCAAGCUUGGGGAGGCUUAAAUCAAUGUUAUAUUCAUGCCCCAAUCAUGAGCUCGCAAGAGAAGUAAUUAUGCAAAAAAAAUAUGCUCGGCUUUCUGAUAACAAUCGCACCAUGCUCGAUACUUCUUGUGUUGGCUCUUUUACGAUGAAGACUAUUGAAUUCAGAUGGAAUUUAUUGGAUAGAAUUAAACGCAACUCUGAAGAUUGGGACCUCGACGAAGGUAAGGAGUCAGGUAUGACACCUAAGUUUGAUUAUGUUAAAUCUUUUAUGGAUACCGAUAUUUUCUGUAAGUUUAGCACUAAAUAUGGACUUGACUCUGAAAUAGUAGCUUCUUUCUGUGAAUCUUUUGCUACUUAUGUUGAUCUCCCCAAGGAGAAGUGGUUUAAAUAUCAUCCUCCCAUAGAAGUAAAAGUAGUUGCACCUCUUAAAGUUGAAGAAAAUAUUGUCACUUAUAAUGAUCCUAUUGUUCCCACUUCUUAUGUUGAGAAACCACCUUUCCCUGUUAGAAUGAAGGAUCAUGCUAAAGCUUCAAUUGUUAUUUGUAAAAGCAAUAUUAGAACUUAUACACCUCCUAAGCAAGUCAAAGUAGAACCUAAUAUUGCUAUUGUUAAAGAUCUCUUGUCUGACAAUAUUGAUGGGCAUGUUAUUCAAUUCUGUGGUGAAACUGCCAGAAUUGCUAAACCUUGUGAUAAAGAUAAACAUAGACCUGUGGUAGGCGUGCCUGUUAUUUCUGUUAAAAUAGGAGAUCAAUGUUAUCAUGGCUUGUGUGAUAUGGGUGCUAGUGCUAGUGUUAUACCCAUUGACUUAUACAAAGAAAUUAUGCAUGAUAUUGCACCUGCUGAGUUAGAAGGUAUUGAUGUUACAAUUAAACUUGCCAAUAGAGAUACUAUUUCUCCAGUGGGAAUUGUUAGAGAUGUUGAAGUCUUGUGUGGGAAAACCAAAUAUCUGGCUGAUUUUCUUGUUCUUGGUUCUCCACAAGAUAACUUUUGUCCCAUUAUAUUUGUUAGACCCUUCUUGAAUACUGUUAAUGCUAAGAUAGACUGCGAAAAGAAUGUUGUUACUAUUGGCUUGGAUGAUAUGGUUCAUGAGUUCAAUUUCUCCAAAUUUAGUAAACAACAUCGUGAGGAAGAAUUGCCUAGUAAGGAUGAAAUUAUUGGUCUUGCUUCCAUUGCCGUACCUCCUAGUGAUCCUUUAGAACACUAUUUGCUAGACCAUGAGAAUGACAUGUUCAUGAAUGAAAGAAGGGAAAUAGAUGAAGUAUUCUUUAAACAGGAACCUAUUCUGCAACACAAUUUGCCUGUUGAAAUCCUAGGGGAUCCUCCUCCACCCAAGGGUGAUCCUAUGUUUGAGCUUAAACCAUUGCCUGAUAAUCUUAAAUAUGCUUAUCUUGAUGAAAAGAAAAUAUAUCCUGUCAUUAUUAGCGCUAACCUUUCAGAGCAUGAAGAAGAAAGAUUAUUGAAAACUCUGAAGAAGCACCGUGCCGCUAUUGGAUAUACACUUGAUGAUCUUAAGGGCAUUAGUCCCACUCUAUGUCAACAUAAAAUAAAUUUGGAAGCUGAUGCCAAACCAGUUUGUGAUCCUCAACGACGUUUGAAUCCUAAAAUGAAAGAAGUGGUAAGAAAAUAAAUACUCAAGCUUCUGGAGGCAGGUAUAAUUUAUCCUGUUGCUGAUAGUUAGUGGGUAAGUCUUGUCCAUUGUGUCCCUAAGAAGGGAGGUAUUACUGUUGUCCCUAAUGAUAAAGAUGAAUUGAUUCCGCAAAGAAUUAUCACAGGCUACAGGAUGGUAAUUGAUUUCCAUAAGUUAAAUAAAGCUACUAAGAAAGAUCAUUACCCCUUACCUUUUAUUGAUCAAAUGCUAGAAAGAUUGUGCAAACAUACAUAUUAUUGCUUUCUAGAUGGUUAUUCUGGUUUCUCUCAAAUACCUGUGUCAGCUAAAGAUCAAUCAAAGACUACUUUUACAUGCCCUUUUGGUACUUUUGCUUAUAGACGUAUGCCUUUUGGUUUAUGUAAUGCACCUGCUACCUUUCAAAGAUGCAUGAUGGCUAUAUUCUCUGAAUUUUGCGAAAAGAUUUGUGAGGUUUUCAUGGAUGACUUUUCCGUCUAUGGUUCCUCUUUUGAUGAUUACUUGAGCAAUCUUGCUCGAGUUUUGCAGAGAUGUGAAUAAACUAAUCUUGUCUUGAAUUGGGAAAAGUGUCACUUUAUGGUUAAUGAAGGUAUUGUCUUGGGGCACAAAGUUUCUGAAAGAGGUAUUGAAGUUGAUAAAGCCAAGGUUGAUGCUAUUGAAAAGAUGCCAUGUCCUAAGGACAUCAAAGGUAUAAGAAGUUUCCUUGGUCACGCCAAAUUUUAUAGGAGGUUCAUUAAGGACUUCUCAAAAAUUUCUCGGCCUCUGACUAAUUUAUUACAAAAAGAUGUACCGUUUGUCUUUGAUGAUGAUUGUGUAGAAGCAUUUGAAAUACUUAAGAAAGCAUUAGUCUAUGCACCUAUUGUUCAGCCACCUGAUUGGAAUUUACCCUUUGAAAUUAUGUGUGAUGCUAGUGAUUAUGCUGGAGGUGCUGUUCUAUGGCAAAGAGUUGAUAAGAAAUUAAAUGUUAUCCAUUAUGCUAGUAAGACUCUAGACAAUGCUCAAAGAAACUAUGCUACUACCGAAAAUGAACUUUUACCAGUUGUAUUUGCUUGUGAUAAAUUCAGACCCUAUAUUGUUGAUUCUAAAGUAACUAUUCACACUGAUCAUGCUGCUUAAAUAUCUUAUGGAAAAGAAAGAUGCAAAACCUAGAAUUAUUAGAUGGGUUCUCCUGCUGCAAGAAUUCAAUUUGCAUAUUGUUGAUAAGAAAGGAGCUGAGAACCCCGUUGCAGACAACUUAUCUAGGUUAGAGAAUGUUCUUGAUGACCCACUACCUAUUGAUGAUAGCUUUCCUGAUGAACAAUUAAAUGUCAUAAGCACUUCUCGUAGCACUCCAUGGUAUGCUGAUUAUGCUAAUUAUAUUGUCGCUAAAUUUAUACCACCUAGCUUCACAUACCAGCAAAAGAAAAAGUUUUCCUUUGACUUCGACAUUACUUUUGGGAUGACCCAAAUCUUUAUAAAGAAGGAGUAGAUGGUGUCAUUAGACGUUGUGUACCUAAGCAUGAAUAGGAACAGAUCCUACGCAAGUGUCACUCCGAAGCUUAUGGAGGACACCAUGCUGGAGAUAGAACUGCACAUAAGGUAUUGCAAUCUGGUUUUUAUUGGCCUACUCUCUUCAAGGAUGCCCGUAAGUUUGUUUUGUCUUGCGAUGAAUGUCAAAGAAUUGGUAAUAUUAGUAGACGUCAAGAAAUGCCUAUGAAUUAUUCACUUGUUAUUGUACCAUUUGAUGUUUGGGGCUUUGAUUAUAUGGGACCUUUUCCUGCCUCUAAUGGAUACACACAUAUUUUAGUUGAUGUUGAUUACGUUACUAAGUGGGUAGAAGUUAUUCCAACUAGUAGUUUGAUCAUAAAACUUCUAUUAAAAUGCUUAAGGAAGUUAUUUUUCCAAGGUUUGGAGUCCCUAGAUAUUUAAUGACUGAUGGUGGUUCACAUUUUAUUCAUGGUGCUUUCCGUAAGAUGCUCCCUAAAUAUGACGUUAAUCAUAGGAUUGCAUCUCCUUAUCACCCGCAGUCUAGUGGUCAAGUAGAGUUGAGCAACAGGGAGCUCAAAUUAAUUUUGCAAAAGACUGUUAAUAGGUCUAGAAAGAAUUGGUCCAAGAAACUUGAUGAUGCAUUAUGGGCCUAUAGAACUGCAUAUAAAAAUCCUAUGGGUAUGUCCCCGUACAAAAUGGUCUAUGGAAAAGCUUGUCACUUACCUCUUGAACUAGAACAUAAGGCAUAUUGGGCUAUUAAAGAGCUCAACUAUGAUUUCAAACUUGCCGGUGAGAAGAGGUUAUUUGAUAUUAGCUCACUUGAUGAAUGGAGAACCCAAGCUGUUUAAAGAAAAAGUUAAAAGAUGGCAUGACAAAAGGAUACAAAAGCAUGAGUUUAAUGUAGGUGAUUAUGUAUUGCUAUACAACUCUCGUUUAAGAUUUUUUGCAAGAGAACUUCUCUCCAAAUGGGAAGGUCCCUACGUUAUUGAGGAGGUAUAUCGUUCCGGUGCCAUAAAAAUCAGCAACUUCGAAGGCACAAAUCCGAAGGUGGUAAACGGUCAAAGGAUCAAACACUAUAUCUCAGGUAAUCCUAUAAAUGUUGAAACUAAUAUUAUUGAAACCAUAAACCCAGAGGAAUACAUAAAGGACACUUUCCAGAACGUUCCAGAAUCCGAAAAGGAAUAGGUAUGUGGUACGAAAAGUAAACCGACUCCAACACAAUUUUUAAGGCAAUAUUUUUCCGUUUUGGAAUAUUUAGAAAAUAGAAAAAUAAGUAGCAGUCCGGGGAGGACACGAGGCCUCCACGAGGGUGGAGGGCGCGCCCUACCCCCCUGGGCGCUCCCCCCUACCUCGUGAGCACCUCGUGUGCCCUCCGGACUCCAUUUCCUUGCACGAUACGUAUUUUGGUCGGUAAAAAUUCAUUAUAUAUACUCCCGAAGGUUUUGACUCCCGUACCACGCAAAUAUCCUCUGUUUUUGUUUCGAGCUAUUGUUGCUGCAGAUUAAAGCAAGAUGUCUUCUCAAGAGUCAGUCGGGGAGUGCCGGGUGUCUAACCCGAUACCGGAACCAAGGACGAACAGCGACGCUGACCACUUUGGGCCAGCAACGGAGGAAGAGAUGGAGGCUGACCUAAUGAGAGUAGAUGCCAUGGAAGAUCAAGAAGUCACCUCUCGCCUCCGAGCUGGGUUUACUAUAGGGGGACUACAGAGCUCAGCUAUUCCAAACUCGGUUAUCGCUUCCAAUGUUAAAUUUCUUUCCUAUGAAAAUAUGAGGAGGAGUGUCUCUUGUUCUCCAGCAGCUAUGCAACACCCUUGGGUGCAAGGAGCUUUAGCCGUUACAGGAAAGCUUUGCAAGAAAAUAAUGGACCUCAAGCAGCAAGUCAAUAAGCUCGAGGAGGAGAACCGUAUUCUAAGGGGAAUCAUCGCCAAGAAUAUUACUCCCACCACAAAUAAGGAGAUAUAAUCACAUGAGUAUGGGCAGUCCCCUUGGCAACUGCCAAGCUUGGGGGAGGUGCCCUGGUAUCGUAUCACCAUCACAACUCCUAUCUUUACCAUUUUUCUUAGUUUGAUCCUAUUAGUAGUAUCUUGAUUUAGUAGAAUAAAGUCAUGGUAUGAUCUAGUUUUGAGUUUUGCUUUACGAUCCUUCUUUGUAAUCGAGUCCGUGAGCCAUAUAAUAAAGUUUAGUGUUGAGUCAAGGGCUUGAUUGUUUUGCCAUGAUUUUGGGUGAAUAGAAGAAAAGAAUAAAAAGAAUCAAAGAGUUCAUAUUGAUCUUAGUGAAGGUAAUGACUUCACAUAGAAAGAGUAUGAUGAUUAAAAGUUGUUGGGAGUUGGCAAAUAUAGCUUUGGUCAUCGUUGCAAUUAAUAGGAAGUAAUAAGGAAAGAGAAGUUUCACAUAUAGAUAUAUUAUCAUUGACAUCUUUCAUGAUUGGGAACACUGAUUAAAAUAUGACAUGUUAAAGAGUUGAGGUUGGACAAGGAAGACAACAUAAUGAGUUAUGUUUUCUCACAUCCGAGAUAAAGUAUGUUGUCAUGGAUCCUCUACCAUGUUGAACUUGCCUUUCCCCCUCAUGCUAGCCAAAUUCUUAGCACCAAGUAGAAAUACUACUUGUGCUUCCAAAUACCCUUAAACUAGUUUUGCCAUGAGAGUCCACCAUAUCUACCUAUGGAUUGAGUAAGAUCCUUCAAGUAAGUUGUCAUCGGUGCAAGCAAUAAAAAUUUCUCUCUAAAUAUGCAUGACUUAUUAGUGCAGAGAAAUAAGCUUUGUACAGACUUGUUGUGGACGCAAUAAAAGCGACGGACUGCAUAAUAAAGGUUCACAUGCAAGGGGCAAUAUAAAGUGACGUUCUUUUGCAUUAAGAUUUUGUGCAUCGACCCUAAAUGCACAUGACAACCUCUGCUUCCCUCUGUGAAGGGCCUAUCUUUUAUUAUUAUCCCCUACCUUAUGCAAGAGUCACGAUGAUCUUCACCUUUCCUUUUUCAUUUUAUCCUUUGGCAAGCUCAGCAUGUUGGAAGAACAUGAUAUAUAUAUAUAUAUAUAUAUCUAAUUGGAUGUGGGGGAGCAUGAAUUAUUAUUGUUGACAUUACCCUUGAGGUAAAAGGUUGUGGGGCAAAACUAUAAGCCCCUAUCUUUCUCUGUGUCCGAUUAGAACUCCAUAACCACAAGUAUCGCGUGAGUGCUAGAAAUUAUGAAGGACUAAAUGAUAGUUGAGUAUGUGGACUUGCUUUCAGAGCUCUGACAUAGACUCUUUUCGAUGUUAUGAUAAAUUGCAAUUGCUUCAAUGACUGAGGGUAUAAUUUGUUGGUGCUCAAUAAGAUUUCUGAUUCAUGCUUUGGCUUUGUGAAAAGAUCAUCACUUGAACAUGAGUAAUCAUAUGACAAAAUCUUUAUGUGUUGCUGUUAUGAAAUAAUCAUGAUGCCUUCAUGUCCAUAUUUUAUUUUUAUCGACGCCUCUACCUCUAAACAUGAGGACAUAUUUAUUAUUAUCGGCUUUUCGCUUGAGGACAAGCAAGGUCUAAGCUUGGGGGAGUUGAUACGUCCAUUUUGCAUCAUGAUUUUGUGAUAAUAUUUAUUGCAUUAUGGACUGUUAUUUCACGUUAUGUCACAAUACUUAUGGCUAUUCUCUCUUAUUUUACAAGGUUUACAUGAAGGGGGAGAAUGCCGGCAGCUGGAAUUCUGGGCUGGAAAAGGAGCAAAUAUUGGAGGCCUAUUCUACGCAACUCCAAAAGUCCUGAAACUCCACGGAAUACCUUAAAAUAAAUAAAGAAAAAUCAUCACCAAAGAUGAAGGCCAGGGGGCCCACACCCUGCUCACGACGCCCAUCUUCUCCUAUAUGAAGUCUUUCGAUGAGAAAAAAAUAGGAAGCAACCUUUUGGGACGAGACUCCGCUGCCACGAGGCGGAACCUUGGCGGAACCAAUCUAGGGCUCUGGCAGAGCUGUUCUGCCCGGGACAAUUCCCUCAGGGAGGGGGAAAUCAUCAUCAUCAUCAUCACCAACGCUCCUCUCAUCGGGAGAGGGCAAUCUCCAUCAACAUCUUCACCAGCACCAUCUCAUCUCCAAACCCUAGUUCAUCUCUUGUAUCCUAUUCUUGUCUCCAAAUCCUGGAUUGGUGCUAGUAGUUUGCUAGUAGUGUUGAUUACUCCUUGUAGUCGAUGCUAGUUGGUUUAUUUGGUGGAAGAUCAUAUGUUCAGAUCCUUUAUGCACUUUAUUACCCCUCUAAUUAUGAACAUGAAUAUGCUUUGUGAGUAAUUACGUUUGUUCCUGAGGACAAGGGAGAAGUCUUGCUAUUAGUAGUCAUGUGAAUUUGGUAUUCGUUCGAUAUUUUUAUGAGAUGUAUGUUGUCUAGCCUCUAGUGGUGUUAUGUGAAUGUCGACUACAUAUAUUUGGGCCUAGAGGAAGGCAUUGGGAAGUAAUAAGUAGAUGAUGGGUUGCUAGAGUGACAGAAGCUUAAACCCUAGUUUAUGUGUUGCUUCGUAAGGGGCUGAUUUGGAUCCAUAUGUUUCAUGCUAUGCUUAGGUUUACCUUAAUACUUUUGUUGUGGUUACGGAUGCUUGCAAUAGAGGUUAAUCAUAAGUGGUAUGCUUGUCCAAGUAAGGGCAGUGCCCAAGCACCGGUCCACCCACAUAUCAAAUUAUCAAAGUACCGAACGCGAAUCAUAUGAACGUGAUGAAAACUAGCUUGACGAUAUUCCCAUGUGUCCUCGGGAGCGCUUUUCCUAUUAUAAGAGUUUGUCCAGGCUUGUCCUUUGCUACAAAAAGGAUUGGUCCACCUUGCUGCACUUUAUUUACUUUUGUUACUUGUUGCUCGUUACAAUUUAUCUUAACACAAAACUAUCUGUUACCACUUAUUUCAGUACUUGCAGAGAAUACCUUGCUGAAAACCGCUUAUCAUUUCCUUCUGCUCCUCGUUGGGUUCGACACUCUUACUUAUCUAAAGGACUACAAUAGAUCCCCUAUACUUGUGGGUCAUCAGUUGUCAACCAGUAGAAUCCAUGACUGUCGGAUUUCGGGUUCCGGCAGACCCUUCUAGGUUCGAACUCUGGGGUGCACGCGGAGAUCGCACCUCCUACCUACCUAUGUCUCGUCGCCUCGCAAGGAUCUAAACUACACGAAGAACAACACAAGGGACACAAGGUUUAUACUAGUUCGGGCAACCAUUGUGGUGUAAUACCCUACUCUAGUUUGUGGUGUGGUGGAUUGCCUCAGGGGCUGAUGAUGAACAAUACAAGGAAGUACUGCCUCGCGAGGGGUGUUCUUGCGUUGGUGGUUCUGGCUAGGGUUCAACUGCUCGAUCUGUCGAUGCCCUGCCUUGAGAGUGGCUAGUCUUAUUUAUAGAGCGAGGCCCUGGGCCUCUUCCCAAAUAUUGAGCGGGAAGGGCGCCAACAAUUGGCCGUUUUGAAGGGGAACAUCUACUACACUUAUCCUGACUAAAGUCGGUCUUUGCCUGCCAAAGACUCUGGCGGUGACGCCGGCUUGGCUCCACGAUGACCUCCAUCCUGCCGUUCUGCUGGUCUUGGUCUUGUUGCACCGAAAUGGCUGCCUUUGCUUGAUACUCUUGCCUGCGCUUGCUCCCUUUGCACCAAAGAGGAAACAAGGACUCCGCACAGGCCGGCGCCUGCCUGGCGCCCGCCUGGCUUGGUCGUCAUGGCUUGCAUCACGGGCACCUCAUGAGGUACCCUGCCUUGAUCUCUCCGCCUCCUCGCGAGCCAGCCUGAUGAGGCCGUGCCUGAGGAAGCUUCUUGUCGUCCGCCCCGCGAGGGUCUUGAGCUUGUGUUGGUGAAGAUGGGUCGUACUGGGCCACCCCUUGAGCCAUGCUGCAGGCCGCAGGCAGGCAAGUCUGGGUACCCCCGUUCCCAGAACGUCGAUAGUAGCCCCCAGGCCCAAGGCACGCCUGGACUUGGCUUAUCAGAGAAGCGAAGGGGCAAGUGCGAAGCGCCGCGGGCCCCAACAGCAUGCGGCCUUGGGUGCCGCGUGGCGGUUGAUUGGACGUGGGCGUCCCUAUUCCCCAUGACGCCUCGGCAACUGCACGAAUCGACAAAAGAGUGGCACCAUGCCAGGCUUACCAUCUCUGCUUCCUCCAGUCGUUGCCCAGAUCCCCUUUCUCGCUCUUCUCCUCCUUGCUCCCGAAAUCCUCAAGAUCUGCUCCGGACUCGCACCUUAGCAAGCCAUGGCGCCUUGCCAGACUCCGGUCGGGGCCUGGUACUCACCUGCGCUAGAUUCUCCGAACGUGUCGGAGAAGAACCUGGCCCUCACGCACCUGAUGAUGGAGGCGCAAGGCAACGACGGGACGGUCGUGCUCAAGGUUGGCUCUUUCCUUCCUGAGGAGAAAGGAAGCACCUUCUACCCGCUCUUCGUGAGCGCCAUCGCCGCUGGUCUGGUGCCUCCCUUUUCCGAGUUCUUUCUUUCUGUUCUCCGCCACUACAACCUGCAAGCUUUGCACCUCCAUCCCAACUCUGUUCUUCUUCUAGCGAUUUUCGCCUAUUACUGCGAGGCUCAUGUCGGGGUAAAGCCCUCUGUGGCCUUGCUGUGCCACUACUUUUACCUUCGGGUUUCUCGCGGCUCCAUCACCGCGUGCAUGAGAUUUGUUGCGUACUCCAUCUCCAAAGCCAUCUCGAAGCCUGGGAAGAGGAUUGAAGGCUUCCGGAGUAAGUGGGUCAUGAUGGAUGCUGGGCACAUCCAUCCCCGGCCGAUCCUGCCUAUGAGGCAGCCUGAGGUCGUCAACGCUUGGUCCCGCACGGAGCUCGUCGAUCCCCGCGUGAAGCCAGUGCUGGAGAGGAUGGACGCGGACCUGUGGCCAGGCAACAUGGUGAUGACGAAGCUGACCGGGGCGUCACUCCUGAGGGAGUUCCUGGAGCAUCGGGUUGCUCCGCUUCGGAAAUAUUCACUCCUGCUGUGGAGGCUCAGGGAGGCCGAUGCCGCCCUUCGCCCAAGCUCUGCAGCCCUAGCCGACUAGGACCUGGCCACGGUCCUCCAUGCCUUGGUUGGGGGAGACGUGGCGAGGAUGGAGGGUGCUCCUGUACCCCUGUUCCUUCGGGAUGAUUGGGAGCAGGUGGUGAACUCCAUGCCUGCUUUCAACGGGGACGGGCCUAUGCCCGUGGAGGUUCUUGAGGACCUGGCGGCCCGGGCGACGGUGAACGUGUCCUCCAGCGACUCCGGCAGAGAGGAGGAAGAAGAGGGGCAGGAAGAGGAGCCCGAUUCCGAGGCGAUCGACGGGGAGUCGAGAGAGCCCCUCCCUCGGUGCAGGUCCCGCAUUCUUCGUCUCAUGCCAGACGAUGACGAGGAUGGUGACGAGCGAGCCGGUGAGAGCUCGCCCCUGAUCUCGAAGAAGGACAGGUCAGGGCUGAUUCUCCGUGAGCCUGCUCCGGCUCCGAGGUGAUCUGCAGACGUGCCUCCUGCUCCCGAGUCUCCCGAGGUUGACCCCAGCAGCCGGCUCUCGGGCUUCAAGUUCGGCUGGAGGUUACUUGAGCCCGCGGGCGAUGACCAGUAAGUGCUUGAUUCUCGUUUUGCUUCUUGCUUUGUUACUGAGGCUUGACGUCCAUAUCCCUUGGCUAGGCCGGUGCCUGCGGCGAAAAGGCUGAAGGGGGCCCCUGAGGCUCCGUCCGGGGCAGCACUUCCACCCGCGGGAGAAGGGGCGGCAAGGCCCGGGCCUCUCCUGCCCGGUCAUCCUCGCGAGGCCAGGUGGGGCAUGCUGGAGGGAGCUCAGCCCCUGUGGCCCAAGCGACUCUCGAGGCGUCUUUGCCUGACAGCACUGUCGCAGUCAUCGGGGCGCAGAAGGUCCCAACUCAUGGUGCUAUGAUCACACUGCCGUCUUCUCCUCCUACUCCGCCAACUGCCAUUUCUCCGACCCCGUCUACUGUGUUGGAUCGUGCUUCUGCUGAAUUGGACCGGCUGUGAGGAGAUCUCCAGGGCGCCGGCCCUCGUCUGGUGGUCAGACGCCUGGAGCUGGCCUCCGGCUGGGUCCGCUCUGACGCUUCAAUUCGAGCAGCACUGGUUCAGGCCGCGACGGCCUGUGACGAGGAAAAGCAGGCCAUCCUUCAGGCCAGGGCCGCUCGCGAUGCCGCCUUGGGGGAGGUUGCGGAUGUUCGGGGUCGCUGCAAGGUGCUGGAGAGCGAGCUACAAGGCCUUCGCGACCAGCUCGCCAAGGAGGCCCGUGACCGCCAGGAGAAGGAGGCAGAGAUGAGGGCUCGCGAGGCUGCCGCCAAGGACCGGGAUUCCGAGCUUGACGAGCACCAUGGCCGCUUGGAUACACUGGAGCAGUCGUUGGAGGCGAGGAAGAUCGAGAUGGACAGCAAGGUGCGGGUCCUGGCCGAGGACCGUGUGGCCUUCGCGAAGCUGGAAGAGAAAGCUCGCUCCUUGCUGAAGACGCUUUAUGACAGCGGCAGAGAGAGUCCACUGGCCGGCGUCGAGGACGGCCCCGCCAAGUUGCUUCCUUUCCUGGUCCGCGCCCUUGAAGAUGUCGCGAUCGGCCUGGGCCCCACGGCUGAGGCCGAGGCACGUGUCCUUUCUUCUGCAGCACUGACGCGCGUCUUCACCCACGUCUAUCUUCGCGACCCCAACGUCGACCUUGAUAGCCUGCUGAAGCCUGUGAGUGACGAUCUUGCCGCCGCUGCUGCUGAAGCUGUGAAGGGUCGAGCGGAGGCUCUGCUAGCGAGGUUCCGUGCCUUCAGCACCAAGCCGAGGCGAGGUGCUGCCGAUCCUGAGGUUCCACGAAGCGCAACCAUCCAGCGCAGCUCCGCCGCCAGCGAUGGCGCUGCCGGAAGUGACCCCCUCGCGGCUCCUGUCCUGCUUUCAGCUCCUGCAACAUGCGUCAUGCCUCGUGGAGGCGUUUAAACUUGUGUUUGGCAUUGUGGAAACAAUCUAUGGACUAUAAUAUCUGCUUUUGGAUUCCUUGAAAUUUGCAUUUUUCCUUCCUACUUGCUUGUGUUCUACGUCCGCAGAGCCCGGCCCCGCGCAUACCUCAGCCGUCGUUAGCCUCGACCGGAAACCAGGACGGGACCAAGGAGUGAGGGCCUACGUGACCAGUUAGGCUCCUGAGUCGCGAUGCUCAGGAGUCCCCCUUGACGCACGAAUAGCAAGUAGGGAGGGGAGAUGUGUGGAUAGAUUUACCGUUCUACGUCGGCAGAGCCCGGCCCCGCGCAUACCUCAACCGCCGUUUGCCUUUCGGAACUAAGGGGUGAGGGGCUACGUGACCAGUUAGGCUCCUGAGUCGCGAUGCUCAGGAGUCCCCCUUGAUGUUCAAAUGGCCUUCGUACCUUGGCUCCGCUCGGGAGAGACGUGCGACGAACCAGGCCCGAGGGGCCUGGCUGGGUGGCGUGCGUCUGGGCGUGACCCAGGCGUAGCCCCCGUGUCCAGCCCCCUCGCGCGGCACUCCCGAGGGGAGGCAUUACGACAAGGCCGGACACUGAGCUCUGGGCUCCCUGAGGUUGAUGCAGCCAGGGGCCACCCUCAGUUGUUUAUCACCAGCGCGGAGCAUAGCGCUUCCGUAUGUGUACGGGCAUAGCCGCUCCUCGGCAGUGUCGUCAGCCAGCGCGGAGCAUGGUGCUUCCACUGGUGCGUGGGAGGGGGCUCCCCUCCGGGAGGAGCCCCUGGGGUGUGUACAGCCCCGCCCUGACACGUGGCUGGCAUGAUAGGGCUUGGCGAGGUGUAUCUGGGCACCCGUGAGCCAGCGCGGGACUCACGGGGCCCUACCUCAAGGCGGGUUGCGCCUGGCUCUGGGCCUUUACUUGUAAUGUGCUCCUGCAAAUUUGGUUAGAUGCCGACGCUCUACGUCCUCGGGUCUUGGCCCUCGAGCGAGCUCAGCAGUCGCUGGUAUGCCAGGUCGCGAUGCCGUGGACAAGGCCAGGAGGUGAGGGCUGGAGAGCCAGUAAGAGUCCAUGAGUCGCGAUGCUCAGGUACCUCCCCCUUUAACAUGCAAGCCGCCGGCAUGAAGGAAGAAAGGUGUCGCCACAAGCAAGUAAUGAUCACGGUGGGUCAAACGCAUGACCCGAAUAAAUGCGAGAGGGAUACACGCCGCUGGGUCGGGCCCAAGUGGCAUGGGGAUAAUGCAGCCCGAGGGCUGCCCCCAACAAAGCAAGCUAAAAACAUGAACAAAAGGGAUACAUGCCGCAGGGACGGACCCACGCGGCCUGGGAAUGAUGCAGCCCUAAGGGCGCUCCCAGCUGAAAAAUGAAACUCGAAAGAUGUCACCUGAUGGUGUUGAAGAUGAAGGGAUGCUGAAGUAGCAACGCCGUGUGCUGCGGAAGCCAACCUUCACGAGCCCCCAGGCCCAGGAGCCUCGGGAGGCUCCGGAGGCGCUGGUGGCUCCUCGCGGACCAUCUCCAUCUCUGCCAGGACUGCGGAACGCCUGGCCGCCUAGGCCUCCAGGAUGCUCCUCAUGAGGCGAUGGCGCACAGUAGCCGCGUUCGGCAAGUCGUAAGGCAUGCGAACAUAGCUGUGGGGUGGACCUUCGCAGCGUCCCACGCAUGAGGGCCAGAGGCGCUCCUAAGAGGCGGCUCGGUUGAGCCCUGGUAUGUCGAUGCAGACGCGCAGCCCACCAUCCUCGCUCGGAUGGGGAGCUACGACGAGUAAGCGGCGGCUGCCACUUAUGACUCUUGACUCCAGCAGCUCCUGAACGAUCUCGCUGACGAACUCCCGAGGGUUUGGCCCUCCUUGCCUUGCUCUUGCCUGAGGGAAACGUGCUUUGAAACACGCCUCCAAGUGGUGCCCGAGCGCCUCCCUCGUGAUCUUAGCAAAGUCGGUGGCCCUCCAGGAGAGAGCCCCUGAGCCUUGCUCAAGGAGGGCGCCGGGCACGCCUUCCUAUGCGACAGAAGGAGGCGCCCUUGGAACGGGCGCGGACUCUGAGGGGCUUGCCUCCUGAGGGUUCUGACUAGGUGACACCUUCUUCUUCUUAGGAACUGCCUCGAGAAGCCUUCCGCUCCUGUGAUCUGGGUCUUCAAUUGAUGCGGCUUGAAAAGCAUGCUCCAAAGAACACACUGCGUCUCUCUCUUCACAAGGCACUGUGAUGACUCCAUCGCUUCCUAGAAUCUUGAGGACAUUGUAACCAUGAUGAGUCACGGCCAUGAACUUGGCCAGAGCUGGGUACCCGAGGAUGGCAUUGUACGGCAGGCAGAUGUGCACGACGUCAAAGUCAAUGAGCUCAGUGCGGUAGUUGUCGCGCUUCCCGAAGGUGAUAGGAAGGCGGACCUGCCCUAUCGGGAUUGUGGAACCAUCAAUGACUCCUGAGAAAGGUUGGGUUGGCUGAAGCUGGUUGUAUGGCACUUGGAGAUUGUUGAAUGUCUCGACGGACAGGACAUUGAGCCCUACCCGCAAUCGAUGAGGGUCCUGGUGACUUGCACAUUGCUGAUGAUAGGGGAGCAAAGCAUUGGGAGGACUCCGGCUGUGGCUGCGCACUUGAGCUGAUCUGCUGAGCUGAACAUGAUGGCGCAUGCUGACCACCUGAGGGAGCGCGUGGCUUCGAGCUUGGGGAGGACUGCAUUCACUUCGCGAGCAAACUGCUUGAAGAUGCGCUGAGAGGCUGGGGCUUGAGCUCCGCCCAAGACAAAAGCGAUUGCACGCGGCUCCUGGAAGCCCCCAGCCCCCUCGUCCUGAUGAUGGUCUUCGUUCCUCCUUGGCUGCGGUGGCAGAGGAGGGAGGCCCGCGUUGCCUUGCAGAUGAUCCUCGCGAGGCUGAUCCCUCCAGUCUCCCUCGCGAGGCUGAUCCUGCUAGCGGUCCUUGCGAGGUCGGUCGCGCCACCCUUGGCGAGGGCCACGGUCUUCCCAUCAUCCUCCACCUCUUCCUCCUCCUCGGCCAUAGCCCCGGUCGUUGCGCUCGGGGCAUCGGCCAAUGCGCACGUCCCGCACGGCCCUGAGCUCUUGGCAUUCGUUGGUGUUGUGGGUGUGGAGGUCGUGGUACACGUAGUACUGGCUGCCUUUGGACGACUCAGGCUGAUCCCUUCCAUGCUUGGUGUCCGGUUCUACUGCAAGCACGGCCGCCCCCUUGCGCUUCACGUCCCUGACCUUGGGCUUCUUCUCUUCUGGGUCGGCAACCAGCAGCUUGAGGAGGGAAAGGUGUCCUUCCUCAGCCCUAGCGCACUUGGUUGCCAAGUUGAACAGCUCAAGGGAGGUGCACAGGUCUUCAUGGAUCGCAAGCUCUUCUUUCAUCUUGACCUCACGCACACCAUCGAAGAAGGCUGAGAUGAUGGCCUCCUCAGACACCCUGGGGAUCUUAAGGCGAGCGUUGUUGAAACGCUGGAUGAACUUCUGCAGGAUCUCUCCUGGCUGCUGCUUGAUGCGGCGCAAGUCGCUCAUGGCCGGGGGCCAGUCGCGUGUGCCUUGGAAAUUGGCGAUGAAUCGGGUGCGCAUCUCGUCCCAGGAGGAAAUCGUGCCAGGAGCCAGGUUCAGGAGCCAGGUGCGGGCACCGUCCUUGAGCGCCAUGGGGAACCAGUUCGCCAUGACCUUCUCGUCCCCGUUGGCGGCUUCGAUGCCCAGAUCAUAGAGCUGGAGGAACUCCGCAGGGUCAGCCGUGCCAUCGUAGCGCGGGGGCAAAUCUGGCUUAAACUUUCCUGGCCAGGCCACGCCGCGCAGCUCGGCGGUGAAGGCGCGGCAGCCUGCAGUGGCCAUGGGAGGCCUCGGGUGACGGAGGGCUUGAUCAUGGAAGUCUCCAUGCGCUGCUGCCAGGAGCAGCGCGGGGUCUUGGCAUGUUGGAGCAGGAGCGCGGUCGUGACGGGCUGGCACGGGGAGCGCCCGGGCAGCUUCUUGGGGACGAGGGAUCUCUUGGCAGCUCUUCUCUUGUUGCGCUGGUGCCGGACGGAGCGGGUUCCGUCAGGGGCCACGCGCCUUGGGGCAAGGCACCUUCUUGAGGGAGAGGCGGCUGAGGCGCCCCCGGAGCUUCAUCGCUCGCGUAAGGCGGGGCACAGUGCAGCAAGAGGGAUGGAGCAGGGGAGCCCCCAGCGGCGCUGACAAGCUCGGUGAUGCGGGCGAGCCACUCGUCGUAGAGGUCGUCGACGGGACGGUAGUGCAGGAGUUCCCGCGCUAGGAGCAGCGUGGCAUGCGCGUCCGCGGGAGCGCGACGGGCGUGGGAUGAGGAACUGGCUGGAGUAAGUGACGGGGUGGCGGUGCGGCCUUCUCACCGCACCGAAGGAUGCAGAGACGACGCCUACUGCUCGUUCCCCACCGGGCCAGUGGUGGCGUUGACGGCAGGCGACGGGGAACGACGGCGGCACCCGUUGACGGGGGCCGUCUGGGCGACGCGAGUGGCGAGGGCGGCUCGGCGCUCGGCGCGGGCUCGACGAGCGUCUGACAUGGAUGAGAGGGGCGGCAAAAAACAGGGCGGCGGAAGGCGGAUUCCGGUGUACCCCUACCUGGCGUGCCAAAUGUCAGAUUUCGGGUUCCGGCAGACCCUUCUAGGUUCGAACUUUGGGGUGCACGUGGAGAUCGCACCUCCUACCUACCUAUGUCUCGUCGCCUCGCAAGGAUCUAAACUACACGAAGAACAACACAAGGGAUACGAGGUUUAUACUAGUUCGGGCCACCAUUGUGGUGUAAUACCCUACUCUAGUUUGUGGUGUGGUGGAUUGCCUCAGGGGCUGAUGAUGAACAAUACAAGGAAGAACUGCCUCGCGAAGGGUGUUCUUGCAUUGGUGGUUCUAACUAGGCUUCAACUGCUCGAUCUGUCGAUGCCCUGCCUUGAGAGUGGCUAGUCCUAUUUAUAGAGCGAGGCCCUGGGCCUCUUCCCAAAUAUUGAGCGGGAAGGGCGCCAACAAUUGGCAAUUUUGAAGGGGAACAUCUAGUACACUUAUCCUGACUAAAGUCGGUCCUCGCCUGCCAAAGACUCCGGCGGUGACGCCGGCUUGGGCUCCACGAUGACCUCAAUCCUGUCGUUCUGCUGGUCUUGGUCUUGUUGCACCGAAAUGGCUACCUUUGCUUGAUAAUCUUGCCUGCGCUUGCUCCCUUUGCACCAAAGAGGAAACAAGGACUCUGCGCAGGCCGGCGCCCGUCUGGCUUGGUCGUCAUGGCUUGCGUCAUGGGCACCUCGUGAGGUACCCUGCCUUGAUCUCUCCGCCUCCUCGUGAGCCAGCCUGAUGAGGCCAUGCCUGAGGAAGCUUCCUGUUGUCCGCCCCGCGAGGCUUGGCCCCUCGCGAGGGUCUUGAGCUUGUGUUGAUGAAGAUGGGCUGUACUGGGCCACCCCUUGAGCCACGCCGCAGGCCGCAGGCAGGCAAAUCUGGGUACCCCCAUUCCCAGAACACCGACAAUGACGAAAAGCUUUAGCAACCAGGGACUUUGAACCGGCAUGGUGACCACAAUCCCCUUCGUGAAUUUCACGUAGAAUCUCUCAGCCUUCUUCCGGAGAAACACAACGCUGGAAUACGCCUGAAAUACUGCAGCAGUGUAACUCGCCAUUGUGAAUAACCAUGGACUUGGAUCGCCGGACUAUCUGCCGGGCUAGAACUUCAUCAUCUGGUAACUCACCCCGGUUCAUAUACACCAAAUAUGGAACCGUCCAAUCCAGAACAACAUGUAAAGCGGCCACCAAUUGAGCCUCUGGAUCAGGAACAACUAAAUCCUCCUCUGUAGGCAACUUAACAGACGGAUUAUGCAAGAUAUCUAGAAAGGUAUUGGGAGGUACCGGUUUACGCUGAGAUCCCAGCCGGCUUAAAGCGUCCGCUGCUUCAUUUUUGUGCCGAUCAAUAUGCUCAACAUGGUACCCUUUGAAGUAACCCGCCACAAUAUCCACCUCACGUCUGUAAGCCGCCAUGAGUGGAUCCUUAGAAUCCCAAGUGCCAGAAACUUGCUGGGCCACCAGAUCAGAGUCUCCAAAGCAUCGUACCCGGCUUAAAUUCAUCUCCUUGGCCACACGGAGCCCAUGGAGUAAAGCCUCAUACUCAGAUGCAUUGUUAGUACGGGGGAACAUUAAACGGAGAACAUAACGAAUUUUAUCACCUCGAGGGGAAGUAAGGACAACUCCAGCCCCCGAGCCCUCCAACUGCCUGGAUCCAUCAAAGUGAAUAGUCCAGUAUGUAUUAUCCGGUUUGUCCUCUGUUGCUUGUAACUCGGUCCAAUCAUUGAUGAAGUCAACAAGCGCCUGCGAUUUGAUGGUUGUUCGUGGCAUAUAGUUCAACCCAUGUGGACCAAGCUCAACCGCCCACUUUGUAACCCGUCCAGCUGCUUCCCUGUUUUGAAUUAUAUCACCUAAAGGAGCUGAACUGACAACUGUAAUGGGAUGGCCCUGAAAGUAUUGUUUAAGCUUCCGACUUGCCAUAAAAAAACCAUAAACCAGCUUCUGCCAAUGCGGAUAUCGUUGCUUUGACUCAAUGAGCACCUCACUGAUAUAGUAAACCGGUCGUUGAACCGGAUAUUCCUUGCCAUCCUCCUUGCGCUCCACCACAAUUGCCACACUGACAGCAUGGGCAUUAGCAGCCACAUACAAUAACAAGGGCUCCUUGUCAACCGGAGCAGCAAGAACCGGCUAUUCAGCCAAUUGCCGCUUUAAGUCUUCAAACGCCGCAUUAGCCGCAUCACUCCAGACAAAGGUGUUUGUUUUUUUCAACAUCUGAUAUAGAGGGAUCACCUUCUCUCCCAAACGGCUGAUAAACCGGCUUAGGGAUGCAAUUCGACCUGCGAGAAUCUGAACAUCAUUAAUGCACGCCGGUUUAGCCAAAGAUGUAAUCGCCUUAAUCUUCUCCGGAUUAGCCUCAAUGCCUCUGUUGGAUACCAAAAAACCCAGAAGCUUGCCUGCCGGAACACCAAAAACACACUUGUCCGGAUUGAGCAUCAUCUUGUAAACAUGCAAAUUGUCAAAGGUCUCUUUGAGAUCAUCUAUCAAUGUCUCCUUCUUCCUGGAUUUUACUAUAAUGUCAUCAACAUAGGCAUGAACAUUGCGCCCAAUCUGAGUGUGAAGACAAUUUUGUACAUAGCGUUGAUAAGUUGCCUGGGCACUCUUGAGUCCAAAGGGCAUAGAAACAUAGCAGAAGGCUCCAAAGGGAGUGAUGAAGGCGGUCUUCUCCUGGUCCUUAACUGCCAUUUUGAUCUGAUGAUAGCCUGAAUAAGCAUCCAAGAAACUCAAACGCUCACAACCCGCCGUCGCAUCAAUGAUCUGAUCAAUACGCGGGAGAGCAAAAGGAUCGGCCGGACAAGCUUUGUUCAAAUCUGUGUAGUCCACACACAUAUGCCAAGUGCCGUUUUUAUUAAGAACAAGCACCGGAUUAGCCAAUCACUCAGGGUGAAACACUUCAAUGAUAAACCCAGCAGCCAACAGCCAGGCUACCUCCUCACCAAUUGCCUUGUGUCUCUCUUUGUUAAAGCGGCGAAGAAACUGCUUGACCGGUUUAAACUUGGGAUCAAUAUUGAGAGUGUGCUCAGUGAGUUCCCUCGGUACACCUGGCAUGUCAGAAGGCUUCCAUGCAAAAAUGUCCCGGUUCUCACGGAUGAACUCAAUGAGCGCGCUUUCCUAUUUCGAAUCCAGAUUUGUGCUGAUGCUAAACUACUUGGAUGAAUCGCCAGGAACAAAGUCAACAAGCUUAGUCUCAUCAGCCGGUUUGAAUUUCAGAUUUGGGUCAUGCUCAGUGGUGGGCUUCUUCAGAGGGGUCAUGUCUGCCAGAUCAACAUUGUCCCUGUAGUGUUUCAACUCCUUUGUAGCACAAACCGACUCAGCAUAAGCCGCAUCACCUUCCUCGCAAUCCAAAGCGAUCUUAUGAUUUCCGUGAACUGUGAUGGUCCCCUUGUGACCCGGCAUCUUGAGCUGCAAAUAAAUAUAACAGGGCCUUGCCAUGAACUUUGCAUAAGCCGGCCGUCCAAACAGCGCGUGGUACGGGCUCUGGAUCUUCACUACUUCAAAGGUCAAAGUUUCAGACCGGGAGUCAUGCUCAUCACCAAACACAACCUCCAAAGCGAUCUUAGCAACAGGAUAUGCUGAUUUACCUGGCACCACACCAUGAAAAAUAGUAUUUGAUGGUUUAAGACUCUUGUCUGUCAACCCCAUGCGAUGGAAGGUCUCAUAAUACAGAAUGUUGAUAUUGCUUCCUCCAUCCAUAAGCACCUUGGUGAAUUUAUAACCUCCCACCUGAGGUGCCACCACUAAGGCCAGGUGACCCGGAUUGUCAACCCGGGGCGGAUGAUCCUCUCUACUCCACAUAAUGGGUUGCUCGGACUACCACAAAUAACGUGGUACUGCCGGUUCAACAACAUUAACUGCCCUCUUGUGAAGCUUCUGAUCAUGCUUGCACAAACUAGUAGUGAACACAUGAUAUUGCCCACCAUUCAACUGCUUUGGGUGACUCUGAUAACCCGACUGCUGCUGAUUUCCUUGAUUAUUCUGUUGGUUAUUACCACCUUGGUUGUUUCGGUUGCCCUGAUUAUUCUGAAAUCCAGAGUUUGAACCGCCACCACCAUGAAACCUGGACCUGAACCGCCCGAUGGACCCUGAUCAUAUCGAAAAAGAUCAGAGUUUUUGAACUCCUUCAUAAUGUGGCAAUCCUUCCAAAGAUGUGUUGCUGGAACCUCCUUGGUCCCAUGCUUUGGGCAGGGUUGGUUUAACAAACGCUCCAGAUUCAUUCCGCCACCACGCUGGGGCAGUUUACCCUUACGAUGCUGCACAUUAGCGUUAGCCACAAAAUCUGAAUUAUCUGCUUUGUGCUUACAAUUAUUCUCGUGGCCUCCUUGGUUGUGCUGCUGCCCCUUUGCACCGCCGUUCUUCUUUCCCUUCUCCGGUUUCUCCUCAUCAGAAUCGGGAUCCUUGGUAUUAUCAGAAUCGGCAUACUUGACCAAGGCUGCCAUAAGGGUCCCCAUAUCAUUGCAGUGGCGCUUGAGCCGUCCCAACUUCAUCUUCAGUGACUUAAACUGGUAAUUACGUUCCAGUGUUAUGAUCGCUUGGCCAGCAUUAAUCCGGUCCGACGAAUGCAACACUUCUGAAACCCGGCGCACCCAAUGAGUUGUUGACUCGUUCUCCCCAUGAACACAGGCAUCCAGAUCCACAAUGGACAUAGGCUAUUUAGAUGUAUCCUUGAAAUUUGCUAUAAACCGGGCCUUCAAUUGGUCCCAUGACUCGAUGGAGUUAGCUGGUAGGUUCUUCAACCAUGUACGGGUUGUUCCCUCUAACAUCAUCGUGAAGUACUUUGCACAAGCCGCUUCAUCCACAUCCAGCAUCUCCAUUGCCAUCUCGUAACUUUCCACCCAUGCCUCGGGCGGUUGAUCAGCGGUGUAGUUAGGCACCUUGCGAGGUCCCUUGAAAUCUUUAGGCAGCCGCACACUACGGGGAGCCGGAAUGAGACACGGUACUCCCCAGGAACUGAAAGCAAGCCCGACGCCUCGGUCUAUCGACGCUGCUGGCUGAACCGGGGAGGGUUGGUAACGACCCGUACACUGUGCUGCUAAAGCGGCCUCCCUUCGUGCUCUACCAUUAUCCACCACAUCCUGAGCGUUCACCUCACCACGCGCCGGAUUGGGUCCUUGAGGGACAAUACGGCACCGCGCACUGCUGGACACCUCCAGUUCAUCUAUAUGCCUGCUAUAGCUUUUGUUCAGACGUGGGGUCAUGUGAAUCCUGUCUCGGCUAUACGAGUAAGCUUGCUGCUGUGUCAUGGCCGUUUGAAGAAGAUCCCUGGCCCGCCGGGUCUCAACCACUGCUGGCGAUUCACCCUCUAUCGGAAUAGCUACCAGCCGGGAUGCUGCUGCUAUCAUAUUGUCCAAAGGGGUAGAGAAGUGACCCGGCGGGGGCGUGGUAUACUGUGGCGGGUUGUCAGUUCGUCGAGGUGGACCCAUCAUCUGAGGUUGAUCCGGCACUCCGGUCCUUGGCACAAUAGUUCGGUUUGCUGCUGCCGGAUUGCUAGUCCUUGCUCCUAGUGUAUCAAAGAGAUUCAUUGCAUUGUAAUCCGCCGGCAAGCGAGAUUGAUGUCUCCUCCUGAAUACUUGAUUCGAAGCGUUCUGAUCCAUCAAAAAUCGAUAAUUCUCGGCUUGAAUCCUCUGCGCCUGGGCAUCUAAAUCGGCCCGUUCCUCAGCCAUCCUGAUCUCCUCAGCCACCAAGUCCUCUUUGGCCUGAGUUAUCUGAUCCUUUAGCUUCGCAACAUCCGCAUUAUGCUGAUCCUGCGUCGCCGAGGUAACUUCCGUGGUCAACAAGGUCGCCCAGGCAUCCAUCAAACCGGAGAGAACUUGAGCCGGCCGGCGCGCGGAGCCUCCUGCCCCUGUUGCCGGUCCGGAUGCUGCCGCAGUAGAAUUUUGCAAAGUUGGCUGUGUUCCAGCCAUGAAGAUUCCGACUUAGUUCGGCGGUUCAAGAAAUUCCGGAAUACUGGUGCCAUCGGAAUACCCUUCGAAUACACCGUCAUGAACUUGGUACAGAGAUUAGGUUUCACCAGUAGAUGAUUCGCCGUCGGAACAAGUGACCGUCUCACCUUCGCACACCGGUUCAGAUCCGAUCCCGUGGACACAUCCUACAAAUGCACGCUUCAUGGCGGGCUGAAUCCGAGCGGGGCUUGCACGCUGAGCCGUCUCGACGAGGUCGGUGCAGGUGUCCGGCUCAGGACCCGGUUCGCCGAUCUUGCCGAUGAAAAAGUAAAUUCCGCCAAAGGGGACUCGGUACCCAUACUCAAUUGAGCCGGCCUCGGGGCCCCAUCCUGCAUCGUCGAUGUAGAACUUGCCGCGACGACUCUUACUCAUCCGGCCCACUGCGUAUCCCUUGAGUCCUUCAAAGCUGCCCUUCAAAAACUCGAAACCAUCAUGCGAUAACCCCACGGUGGGUGCCAACUGUCGUGGAAAUAUCACGUCAGAUGUCCUCGUGAAAGCACUUAGUCGUGGAGCCAUUGCAACGGGUUAGCUUAAAGGGGUUAAACCGGACAAAGGACACGAGGGUUUUAUACUAGUUCGGCCCCUUCGAUGAAGGUAAAGGCCUACGUCUAGUUGUGAUGGGAUUAUUGGGGUUUUGAUAACCAGGGAGCUAAACACGCUAUGCCUGGCUCUCGAGUUGUUGUUUCUUGUCCCUGAACCGCCGCCGGGUCGUCCCCUUAUAUACACGGGUUGACGCCCAGCUGGUCUACAGAGUCCGAGGCCGGCUCAUACAAGUGUCCGGCUCGGUAUCUCCUUUCCUAUCUUACAAUACAAGUUACAUGACUAUGGCGGUUUACCACUAUGGGCCCUAAUCCGCCUUUGGGCCCCGGGUCUCUAAGCUUCAUAGUAAAGCGCCAUCUUCUGGGUCUUCCUGGGCUUCAAUAUAGUUGAGUGUGAACCGGCCCCUCCUAGGCGGUUUAUACUCAGUAGUUAUAUCCCCAACAAGUUUGGCGGCCAUCUUAUUGACUAAGGUGGCUUGCUUAUCAGAAAUUUUGGCUAUAGCAUUUUCAAGACGGGUAAUUUGAGCAUUAACACCAUAAAAUUCUUUAUUCAUAUCAUCAAGCUCUUUGUUCAUAAAUCCCCAAAACCCUUUUUGUUCCUUAAACUCUUUUCUAAACAAAUUAUUGUGCUGAAAUUGCAAAUUCAUAAAGCUUCUAAUAUUUGAUUCGAUAUCCUCCAUCCUUCUAAGAAGGUGGUUGGAACCUUUAGGCGAAGCCAUAAGGUCAAACAAGCACACAAGCAAACAGAAAAAGGCAAGCGAAAGAAAGAGGAGGAGAAGAUUGGGAAAGAGAGGGCAAAUAAAACGGCAAGGGUGAAGUGGGGGAGAGGAAAACGAGAGGCAAAUGGCAAAUAAUGUAAAUGCAAGGGAGAUGAGUUUGUGAUGGAUACUUGGUAUGUCUUGACUUGAGUGAAGACCUCCCCGGCAACGGCGCCAGAAAUCCUUCUUGCUACGUCUUGAGCUUGCGUUGGUUUUCCUUGAAGAGGAAAGGGUGAUGCAGCACAGUAGUGUAAGUAUUUCCCUCAGUUUUUGAGAACCAAGGUAUCAAUCCAGUAGGAGGCUCCUCAACAAGUCCCACGAACCUACACAAACAAACAAAGAACUCGCAACAAACGCGAUAAAGGGGUUGUCAAUCCCUUCACGGCCACUUGCAAAAGUGAGAUCUGAUAGAGAUAAAGUGAUAAGAUAAAUAUAUUUUGGUAUUUUAUAAUAUAGAUGCAGAAAGUAAAGAUGCAAAUAAAAGUAGAUUGGAAGCAAAUAUGAUAAGAGAUAGACCCGGGGGACAUAGGUUUCACUAGAGGCUUCUCUCGAGAGCAUAAGUAUUACGGUGGGUGAACAAAUUACUGUCGAGCAAUUGAUAGAAAAGCGAAUAAUUAUGACGUUAUCUAGGCAUGACCAUGUAUAUAGGCAUCAAGUCCGCAACAAGUAGACCGACUCCUGCCUGCAUCUACUACUAUUACUCCACACAUCGACCGCUAUCCAGCAUGCAUCUAGAGUAUUAAGUUCAUAAGAACAGAGUAACGCAUUAAGCAAGAUGACAUGAUGUAGAGGGAUAAACUCAAGCAAUAUGAUAUAAACUCCUUCUUUUUAUCCUCGAUGGAAACAAUACAAUACGUGCCUUGCAACCCUUUCUGUCACUGGGUAAGGACACCGCAAGAUUGAACCCAAAGCUAAGAACUUCUCCCAUGGCAAGAAAGAUCAAUCUAGUAGGUCAAACCAAACCGAUAAUUCGAAGAGACUUGCAAAGAUAACUCAAUCAUAUAUAAAAGAAUUCAGAGAAGAUUCAAAUAUUAUUCAUAGAUAAACUUGAUCAUAAACCCACAAUUCAUCGGAUCUCGACAAACACACCGGAAAAAGAGAUUACAUCAAAUAGAUCUCCACAAGAGAGGGGGAGAACAUUGUAUUGAGAUCCAAAAAGAGAGAAGAAGCCAUCUAGCUAAUAACUAUGGACCUGAAGCUCUAUGGUAAACUACUCACAACUCAUCGGAAGGGCUAUGGUGUUGAUGUAGAAGCCCUCCAUGGUGGAUUCCCCCUCCGGCAGAACACCGGAGACGGCUCCAAGAUGGGAUCUCGCGGAUACAGAAGGUUACGGUGGCGGAAAUAUUUCUUUUGUGGCUCCCUGGAUGUUUUUGGGGUAUGUAGGCUUAUAUAGGAGGAAGAAGUACGUCGGUGGACGCCCAAGGGGCCCACGAGACAGGGGGGCGCCCUCCUAUCUCGUGGAAGCUUCGGCUGCUUCUUGACUUGCACUCCAAGUCCUCUGGAUCACGUUCGUUCCAAAAAUCACGCUCCCGAAGGUUUCAUUCCGUUUGGACUCCGUCUAAUAUUCCUUUUCUUCGAAAUACUGAAAUAGGCAAAAAAACAGCAAUACGGGCUGGGCCUCCGGUUAGUAGGUUAGUCCCAAAAAUGAUAUAAAUGUGUAAAAUAAAGCCCAUAAACAUCAAAAACAGGUAAUAUAAUAGCAUGGAACAAUCAAAAAUUAUAGAUACGUUGGAGACGUAUCACUUACCUACAAGAAGAACCGACCAUUGAAUUGUUCAGAGACUUCUUUCACUUGAACUGCCGUACUGAGUUCACCGACGGCCCCAAUACUGAACCUGGCGGGGUGUCAAUUCAAAAGAGGAAAGAAGUCAAUUUUCCUCAUGCCAAACAUCACAGCCACCCUAAGGAUUGGAAUCGGACAUGGUUUUACUGCCGAAAUACUGCUCCUGAAAAUGAAAAUCCUCUAUCGGGUUAUCGUGCUCACCGGCUCAGUAAUGAACAUCCCUUGCCUCAACGGCUGACUGCCAAGGAACGAUCAAAAUAUUCAACACAGAUUUCUAAGAUCUGGGCUUUUAUGGCAAACGGUUUAACCGGUAUUGACCUUGUCCGCUGCUGAGUUGCAUGGAGAAUCCUACCCUUAACCCGGCGUCCCGGUUUGAUGUGCGAGUACAUGGGGGACUUGAAAGACCCUCAACGUCAUAUUGAUAUUCAGUUAACUGAUGAAGAGAUUACUGAGGCUGUCAAAAAGAUGUUGGAUGAACCAAUAUCUGAAUGCAGCAAAACUGGGCUGCGUCCCUUUUGUGCCUUCAACAAACCGCCAGCUGUAAGAAUUGCAUCUUUCUAUUUUAAUCCGCCCUCUUUUGACACUUUCUGAUAGCCUUUGUUUACCUUUGCAGGGCAAUGAUCCAUUUUGGAAGAGGAAACCGUAGGACAAACCGGCCAAGCCACAAGAUAAACCGGUGAGAGCACCUCGUGUCAAGACUAAAGUCACAAAGAAGCCAGCAAAUAAGAGAACCGCCGAGUCCCCUGAUCUGACUGAAGAUGUUGAUGACUCGGAAUCAGAGGUAGAACUUGAUUCACUUGGUUCAUUAUUCAUGCACCUUAUUGACAAUGAUCAUUAUCAGGAUGAUGCGGAAGCCAGCCGUGCUGACAAUGUAGAGGUAAUUUCCCUUUCCUCCGAUUCAGAUCAUGUGCAUGUACAAAAACUCCGUCGCGCAGUCCGGAAAGUAAAAUGUUCACAUCCUCUCGCUUAUUUGGAUCCGCACUUUUCUUUGAAGACACAGCAACAUGAAGCUCGUCGCACAACCCAGCACAGUGGCCAACAAGUCACCUCUUCCGGUUUACCAAACUCUCCGGUUCACAAACGCCGUUCAGAGGUCUCUUGUACUUCUAAUACAUCUUAUCCCAAGGUGGGUUGCUUUCGAUACCCUCUUAAUCUGUCUGAUUCGAAUUAUCAGGAAACUUCCAAUUCAUCCUCUGUCGAUUCAUCAACCACGCAGAUGCCUCCACUCAAGACCGUUCCUGGGUAAGCAUGAUAUACUUACUUUUAUUCCUUGCUCAGGUUUAUUGUACUAAUCUUUGUAUCUUAUUCUUUUCAGAGCCAAGGCCAGACUUAGCAAGAAAGCCAAGCUGGCUAUACCAACUGAUGCUAAUCAGACCCCUGAACCGGAGAAGACCCCUGAACCUCAUGAUCUGAAUGUUGAUGUUGUCCGGGAAGAUCCAGUACCUCCGGUUCGGGAUACUUUCGCUGAACCGGACGAGAGAAAUAUCAUGAACCAGCCUGCUAAUCCGCCAAGCCCAGCCAAGGAUGAAGAUAAUCCGCCAAGCCCAGCCAGGGAUACUGACAAUCCGCCAAGCCCAGCCAAAGGUGGUGAUGAUGAUGUUGUCAUUACUGGCACUGGUCAUACUGUUCCUGGUAACCUAGUCGCCUUAUCAAAGCAUAGUGCCAAGGAAGAAUUUGCUGCUAUGGGCAAGGGCAAGUGGAAAACAGAUUUAUCCAGCUGUGUUAACCUCAAUGCUCAGGAACUCCACUCUGGAUUUCUAAACCGCCUGUAUACAAGUCGUGAUUAUGAAGCCGGUUUAGUUAACUUGAUGAAGGAACGCUAUGAGGUAAUUCAUGUUUAAAAGUUUCAUAAAUCUUUCCUUUUGCUUUAUAUUAACUCCAGUGUAGCCCCCAAGGGCCGGUUUAUCUCUUCAAGAUGAACCGGGACUUUUGGUAAGAAAAACUUCAAUUGUGUAGCCCCCAAGGGCCGGUUUAUCUCUUCAAGAUGAACCGGGACUUUUGAUAAGAAAAACUUCAACUGUGUAGCCCCCAAGGGCCGGUUUAUCUCUUCAAGAUGAACCGGGACUUUCUGUUGUAAAUCUUAUCCUUGUUGAAUUCCUUCACAUCCGGUUGAUCUGAUCAAUUAGGCAUUAGCCCCCAAGUGCCAAGAUUAAUACUUGUAUUGAGCCUUGGGACUUCAAAUAACAGUUAGGAAGAAGCAAUCCGCAUUAGCCCCCAAGUGCCAAGUGUAUAACUUGUUAUGCGCUUGGGACUUUGAAAAAGUAUUACCAAUUUACUAUCUGUCUUUUGCAGGCUGACUUAACCAAUAAGGAUUCUCAAAUCGCCGACCUCCAGGAAAACAUCAAGUCCCAGCAAGCCGAAACCUCCAAAGCCAAGGAUGAAUUGAAGGGCGCUCUAACAUCCAUGGAACAACUAAAAGAUGGCUUCAAGAACGAGCGGGCAGGCCGGGAGACUGAAAAAGCCACUUUGCUGAAACGGGUGGAGGAUGCUGAAGCGGCACUUAAACCGGUGGCAGAAGAGCUGAGUGGCUUAAAGCGGCAAAUCAAUGCUAUGACUUCUAUUGUCUUUGGUAAGUACUCUUCUUCAGCUUUUUAUUAAACAUCUUUGAUACUGCCGGUUUAACAGCAAUUUCUGAAACUGUUGUAGGUAGUCGUGUUGCUCAUCUUGGCUCGGAUAUGCGAAAGAAAUUGAAGGCUGCCUAUACCUUGAUAGAGAAGCUUUAUACCGGUGCUCAACGGGUCAUCCGCACAGCUUCGUACAACAAACCGCCACCAUCAUUAAUCAAGGACACAUUGGCCAAAUUAUCCAUGACACCUGCCCAGCUGGAAGAAGUGAAGAGAUCUACUACAAGGGCUGGCACUUUAUCUGCACUGACUCGGGCUAAGGCUUGGAUAGCUGAUCUUGAUCUGGAAGACAUUGCAAAUGGCUAUCCUAGCCAAAAAGAAGACGGGUCAGAAUUUGACAACGACGCCCUUAAAUCUUUGACAAAAGAGAUGCGCCCACCUGCAAGUAGAUUGACCGAGGAAACUAAUUUGUCUUUCCACCGGUCCAUCUAUGAUGCAGACAACAAACGGAUCGAUGCAUCGGUUCAUGAGGCCCAAAAUCUAAUCCCCCCAAUCCCUAAGCACACUUACGCCCCUGACAUUGAACCAUCAGAUCUUAUAAGUGAUGAAGCUAUCUUCCGAGCUUUGUUUGGAAUUGACUGUGCAAACAUUGACUUCCAGCCAGUGGAUGGGGAGGAGGAGGGUGAACCGGUGCAAGACGAUCCAUCAACUUCACGUCAACCCAGGGACGAAUCAUAAUCCGGCAGCCGGCUUUAUUUCCGCAGAUUGUGUUCUGUGCAACAAACAGUUAUUCUUUUGGGUAUCAAAGCGCCUUGUAAUAGGCUAGCUGAAAUACUUUGAUCUGCUGCCAUCGUGCACUGCUACAUGACACUAUUUGAAUCCGCCAUGAUUGUUGCUAUGCUUGCUUAUGUGCCUUGUUAAUUUCAUGCAAUCCUUGUUUCUGCACAUAAAAAAUUACCCUGGCGGUUUACCGCCGGACGGGUCAUAAUACCCAAUAUAAAGCCUGGUUUGUAACCAAGGCUACAAGAAUAUCAAAAUAUGAAAUAGAUCAUACCUGUGAUAUUGAAUCAUAUUGUUGGUUUACCAACUUGAUUGUAGUAAGGGUGAUAACCCAAAUCUUGAGUGUUGAUAACUCCCACCAGGCUGUGCUGGUAUAUAAUAAGCCAUGCCGGGUUAUGAUAAACACUGGAUGAUCUUCCUGGUGACGCACAGUCAAUGCCAGACCGGGUUAAUAAUCACCGGUUUAUAAUUGAAUGUGGUCUAACAACUUGUAGCUGAAAGCCAGGCCGGGUUAACCAACACUGGGUUAAUUUGAUGACUUAUAGUCAUGCCGGGUUAAUAGACGCCGGUUCAACUUAAAACCUUAUCAAAAGAUAAAAAAUCUUGACAAAGGCAAAUAAAAUCUUGUAGUCGAGGCUUUUCAAGGGCUGUCAGGCCCAAAUUCGAGGCUUUUCAUGGGCUGCCAGGCCGCUGAGUUAAACCAUUUCACAAAGCCUUUCAAGAUGGGCCUCCAAUUAACCAAUUGUCGUUUUAACUUUGAUAAGUUCAGGGUCUAUGUAAGAAUGACUUGUCAAACGUUCGGCGGGUCAUACCAGGAUUACCUGGAAGGAGUGGCUUACUUGAAGAAGGAAGGUUAACCCGGGGUUUUAGGUGAAUACACCUGGCUUCCGAGCCUGGCUCGAUAGCCUAUUACAAGGGUCCUUUCAAACUCUUUGUUGCUUUGCACAAAGAGCCCCCAAGUAACUUUGUGAGUUGUGCUCAAUGGGUGCCUAUGUUUGAGCUGUGCUGAGCAACAAGACUCUCUUUGGCCCCUUGGGUGUGAAGCUCCCAAGCUUUGUUGUGGCGUGAUAGCCAGAUUAAUAGGCAGAACUCCGCUUUGUCAGCUGGAGCCCCCAUGUAAUCAAGAAAUAUUGGAAAAAUAGUAGAGGCCCUGCUUAUAGCAAGGAUGCGGGUUUAUUAUAUUGAUCAUAAUAUAUACAUUGUCAAAAUAUGUACAUAAGAGGAGCCUAUGGCUUAGGUGUAGUAAGGCCGAAGGUGAGCUAUGUUCCACGGCCGACGGGUCUCCUCCUCCGAUAUGUGUGAGUCUUUGUGCUCUCGAACGUCGAUGAGGUAGUAUGAUCCGUUGUGUAGAUUCUUGCUGAGCACAAAGGGCCCUUCCCAAGGUGAGGAUAAUUUGUGCAUAUCAGUCUGAUCCUGGAUGAGCCGGAGCACUAAGUCGCCUUCUUGAAAGGUUCUUGUUUUAACCCGGCGGCUGUGAUAACGCCGCAGGUCUUGCUGAUAAACCGCCGAACGAGCCAACGUCAUGUCCCGUUUUUCAUCUAACAGGUCUAGUGCUUCUUGACGUGCUUGCUCAUUGUCCACUUCAACAUAAUUGGCAACCCGGGGCGAGUCAUGAUGAAUAUCACUUGGGAGUACCGCCUCUGCCUCGUAAACCAUGAAGAAAGGUGUAUAACCCAUAGAUCGAUUGGGGGUGGUGUUUAUGCUCCAUAACACAGAAGGUAGUUCCUCCACACAACAACCCAGUGUCCUUUUCAAAGGAACCAUAAGCCGGGGCUUGAUACCCUUCAAGAUUUCCUGAUUAGCUCUCUCAGCUUGACCAUUAGACUGGGGGUGGGCCACUGAUGACACAUCAAGUCGGAUGUGCUCUCUUUGACAGAAGUCCUCCAUCUCACCUUUGGAGAGGUUCGUACCAUUAUCUGUGAUGAUGCUGUGUGGAAAACUGAAGCGGAAGAUCACCUUCUUUAUGAAUUGAACUGUCGUGGCUGCAUCACACUUGCUUACUGGCUCCGCUUCAACCCAUUUAGUGAACUUGUCAACCUCCACCAACAGGUGGGUCUUCUUAUCUUUGGACCGCUUAAAAGGUCCUACCCUAUCAAGCCCCCAAGUAGCAAAUGGCCAAGUGAUUGGAAUCAUCCUUAACUCUUGAGCCGGAACAUGAGCUCGGCGUGAAAACUUCUGACAAGCAUCGCACCGUUUCACCAAGUCCUCGGCAUCAGCAUGAGCCGUCAGCCAAUAAAAACCAUGACGAAAAGCUUUAGCAACUAAGGAUUUUGAACCGGCCUGGUGUCCAUAGUCUCCUUCAUGGAUCUCACGCAGAAUCUCACGACCUUCUUCAGGAGAAACACAGUGCUGGAACACACCCGAGACACUGCAGUGGUGUAACUCGCCAUUGUGAAUAACCAUGGACUUGGACCGCCGGAUUAUCUGUCUGGCCAAAACUUUCAUCUUCUGGUAACUUGCCCCGGUUCAUAUACGCCAAAUAUGGAACCGUCCAAUCCGAAAUAAUAUGCAGAGCGGCCACCAAUUGAGCCUCCAGAUCAGGAAUAGCGAGGUCCUCCUCUGUAGGCAACUUAACUGACGGAUUAUGCAAGACAUCCAGAAAGGUAUUGGGCGGCACCGGUUUACACUAAGACCCCAGCCGGCUUAAAGCGUCUGCCGCUUCAUUUUUGCGCCGAUCAAUAUGCUCAACCUGAUAACCCUUGAAGUGACCAGCCACAAUAUCCACCUCUCGUUGGUAAGCCACCAUGAGUGGAUCCUUAGAAUCCCAAGUACCUGAAACCUGCUGAGCCACCAGAUCAGAGUCCCCAAAGCAUCGUACCCGGCUUAAGUUCAUUUCCUUAGCCACUCGAAGACCAUGGAGCAAGGCCUUGUACUCAGUUGCAUUGUUAGUACAGGGAAACAUUAAGCGGAGAAUAUAAAAAAAAUUAUCACCUCGAGGGGAAGUAAGGACAACUCCAGCCCCCGAGCCCUCCAAUUGCCUGGACCCAUCGAAGUGGAUAGUCCAGUAUGUGUUAUCCGGUUUGUCUUCCGGUGCCUGCAACUCUGUCCAGUCAUUGAUGAAGCCGACGAGCGCUUGGGACUUGAUAGUUGUUCGAGGCAUAUACUUCAACCCGUGCGGUCCAAGCUCAAUAGCCCACUUUGCAACCCGGCCAGUUGCCUCCCUAUUCUGAAUUAUAUCUCCCAAAGGAUCGGAACUGACCACUGUGAUGGGAUGGCACUGAAAGUACUGCUUAAGCUUCCGACUUGCCAUGAACACCCCAUACACAAGCUUCUGCCAAUGCGUAUAUCUUUGCUUUGACUCGAUGAGCACCUCACUGAUAUAGUAAACCGGCCUUUGAACCGGAUAUUCCUUCCCAGUUUCCUUGCACUCGACCACAAUAGCCAUGCUGACGGCCCGGGCAUUGGCAGCCACAUACAGCAACAGCGACUCCUUAUCGACCGGAGCAGCAAGAACCGGCGGUUCAGCCAACUGCUCCUUCAAGUCCUCAAAUGUCGCAUCAGCAGCAUUACUCCAGACGAAAGUGUCUGUCUUCUUCAACAUCUGAUACAAAGGGAUUGCCUUCUCUCUCAAACGGCUGAUAAACUGGCUCAGGGCUGCAAAUCAACCCGCCAGACGGUGAACAUCGUUGAUACACGCCGGUUUAGCCAGAGACAUAAUAGCCUUGAUCUUUUCCGGAUUAGCCUCAAUGCCCCUGUUAGACACCAGGAAACCUAAGAGCUUGCCUACCGGAACACCGAAGAUGCACUUGGCCGGAUUGAGCAUCAUCUUAUAAACCCGAAGAUUGUCAAAGGUCUCCUUCAAGUCGUCAAUCAAUGUCUCCUUCUUCCUGGACUUUACCACAAUAUCAUCCACAUAAGCAUGAACAUUGCGCCCAAUUUGGGUAUAAAGACAAUUCUGCACACAGCGCUGAUAAGUUUCCUGGGCACUCUUGAGCCCAAAGGGCAUAGAUACAUAGUAGAAGGCUCCAAAGGGAGUGAUGAAAGCUGUUUUCUCCUGGUCCUUAACUGCCAUCUUGAUCUGAUGAUAACCAGAAUAAGCAUCCAAGAAACUCAAACACUCACAACCCGCCGUAGCAUCAAUGAUCUGAUCAAUACGAGGGAGAGCAAAAGGAUUGGCCGGACAAGCUUUGUUCAAGUCCGUGUAAUCCACACAAAUGCGCCAAGUACCAUUCUUCUUAAGCACUAGUACCGGAUUGGCCAGCCACUCUGGAUGAAAAACCUGAAUGAUAAACCCAGCAGCCAACAGCCGGGCAACCUCUUCACCAAUGGCCUUGCGCCUUUCUUCGUUGAAGUGACGAAGAAACUGCUUGAUCAGUUUAAACUUGGGAUCAAUAUUGAUAUUGUGCUCAGCGAGUUCCGUCGGUACACCUGGCAUGUCAGAAGGCUUCCAUGCAAAGAUGUCCCGGUUCUCACGGAUGAACUUGAUGAGCGCGCUUUCCUAUUUCGGAUCCAGAUUAGUGCUGAUACUAAACUGUUUGGAUGAAUCGCCAGGAACAAAAUCAACUAGCUUAGUCUCAUCAGCCGGUUUAAACUUUAGGGUUGGGUCAUGCUUUGUGGUGGGCUUCUUCAGAGGAGUCAUAUCUGCCGGAUCAACAUUGUCCUUGUAGAACUUCAACUCUUCUGCCGCACAAACCGACUCAGCAUACGCCGCAUCACCCUCUUUGCAAUCCAAAGCGAUCUUACGACUCCCAUGUACUGUAAUGGUCCCCUUAUGACCCGGUAUUUUGAGUUGUAGAUAAACAUAACAGGGCCUUGCCAUGAACCUUGCAUAAGUCGGCCGUCCAAACAGAGCAUGAUAUGGGCUCUGGAUUUUCACCAGUUCAAAAGUUAAGGUUUCUAACCCGGAAUCAUGGUCAUCUCCAAACAUAACCUCCAGAGCUAUCUUACCAACUGGGUAUGCUGAUUUACCUGGUACCACCCCGUGAAAACAGUGUUUGACGGUUUAAGAUUCUUAUCUGUCAAUCCCAUGCGACGGAAGGUUUCAUAAUACAGAAUGUUGAUGUUGCUUCCUCCAUCCAUGAGCACCUUGGUGAACUUAUAACCCCCAACCCGAGGUGCCACCACCAAAGCUAGAUGACCCGGAUUAUCAACCCGGGGCAGAUGAUCCUCUCUGCUCCACACGAUGGGCUGUUCAGAUCAAGGUAAGUAACGAGGCACUGCCGGUUCAACAGCGUUAACUGCCCUCUUGUGAAGCUUCUGAUCGCGCUUGCACAAGCUAGUGGUGAAAACAUGAUACUGCCCACUAUUCAAUUGCUUCGGGUGACUCUGAUAACUCGACUACUGCUGAUUCCCCUGAUUAUUCUAUUGAUUAUAACCACCCUGGUUGUUCUGAUUGCCCUGAUUGCCUUGAUUGUCCUGGAAUCCUGAGCUUGAACCGCCACCACCGUAACCCGGCCCAUGAGAUCCAUGCCCUGAACCGCCAGGUGGACCCUGAUCAUAUCGGAAAAGAUCAGAGUGUUUGAACUCUCGCAUGAUGAAACAAUCCUUCCAGAGGUGCGUGGCUGGAAUCUCCUUUGUCCCGUGCUUUGGGCAAGGCUGGUUCAACAGGCGCUCCAGAUUCAUACCUCCACCCCGCUGGGGUGGUUUACCCUUACGAUGCUGAGCAUUGCCCUGCACAUUGGUGUUAGCCACAAAAUCUGAAUUGUCCGCCUUACGUUUACCAUUACUGCCGUUGCUCGCCGGAUUAGGCUGCCGUCCCUUGGUGUUGCCGCUCUUCUUUCCCUUCCCCGGCUUUUCCUCGUCAGACUCGGGAUCCUUGGUACUAUCAGAGUCAGCAUACUUAACUACAGCCCCCAUGAGUGUUCCCGUAUCAUUGCAGUGACGCUUGAGCCGCCCCAACUUGAACUUCAAAGGCUUGAACUUGCAAUUGCCCUCCAACAUUAUGAUUGCUGAAUCUGCAUUGAUGCGGUCAGAUGAAUGUAAGAUCUCAGAAACCAGGCGUACCCAAUGGGUAGUCGAUUCACCCUCUCCUUGAACAUAAGCGGCCAGAUCAACAAUUGACAUCGGUUGCUUGCAAGUAUCUUUGAAGUUGUUGAUAAACCUGAUCUUCAAUUCGCCCCAAGACCUAAUAGAAUUAGGGGGCAAACUCUUUAACCAAGUACGAGCUAUUCCUUCUAGCAUCAUAGUGAAAUACUUAGCACACGCCGCUCCAUCCACAUUCAGCAUCUCCAUUGCCAUCUCAUAGCUUUCAACCCAUGACUCGGGGUGCAAGUCCGCAGUGUAAUUGGGAACUUUCCGAGGGCCCUUGAAAUCCUUGGGCAACCGCACAUUGCGCAGGGCCGGUGUGAGACAUGGCACCCCAAAAGUGGUAAAAGCAACUCCUGGCUCCACUGUAGUAGUUGCACGAACCGGCGUAAGCUGACGCUCCACGUCUUGCACAGUCAAUCUAGCUCCGGCGCGCCCGUCCCUGGUCCACUACAUCAUGUGCUUCAUUCCUUCCCCUUGCCGGGUUAGGCCUCCGUGGCGGAUUAUGGUUCCGUCCACUGCUUGACACAGCUGGCUCUUCGACAUGCCUGCUGUAACUCCGGCUUGGGCGAGGAGUUGAGUGAAUCCUAUCCCGACUGUAUGAAUACGCCUACUUUUGAACCAUUGCUGUCUGGAGUAAAUCCCUAGCCCGCUGUGUCUCGACCGCCGCAGGGGAAUCGCCUUCCAUCGGAAUAGCGGCCAAUCUUGAUGCUGCAGCAAUCAUAUUAUCCAAAGGGGUAGGGAAGUGACCCAGUGGUGUUGGCACGUAUUGUGGCGGAUCAUGGUUCUGCUGAGGCAGACCCAUUGUGCUCGGCUCAUCCGGCACUCCUGUCCUGGGUGCUUCAACCCGGUUUACCACGGGCGGGUUACUGGUGCCCGCUCCCGGCGUGUUAAAGAGAUUCCUUGCUUCGUAAACCGGUGGCAGACGAGACUGGUGCCUCCUCCUGAUCACCUCGUUUGAAGCGUUCUGAUCUAACAUAAGUCGAUAAGCCUCUGCAGCACUCACUGAGCUUGAGCAUUCAAAGCGGUUCGUUCCUCGACCAUCCUGGUCUCCUCAGCAGCCAUGUCCUCCUUAGCCCGAGUUAUCUGAUCUCGCAACUUUCUGACUUCUGCAUUAUGCUCAUCCAGAUUAUCCGGAUUAACCUCUGUAGUCAACAAAGUUGCUAAAGCAUCCAACAAACCAGACAAGACUUGAGCCGGCGGGCGCGCGGGGCCUCCUGCCCCAGCUACUGAUCCGGAAAUCAUCGCCGCUGCUGUUGAAGAUUGAGGUGCGAGCUGUGUACCGGCCAUGAAGAUUGCAACCCAGUUUGGCGGUUCAAAGGAGUCUGGAAUACUGUCGCCAUUGGAACAAUCCCCGAACAGGCCAUCCUACACUUGAUACAAAGACUCGAUCUCACCGGUGGAUGACUCGCCAUCGAAAUAGACGGUUGUCUCACCAUCGGAUAUCGGUUCAGAUUCGGUACCAUGGAUGAAUCCUACGAACGCACGCUUCAUGGCGGGCUAAACUCGGGCAGGGCUCGCACGCUGAGCCGUCUUGACGAGGUCGGUGCUGAUGUAUGGCUCAGGGCCUGGUUCGCCGAUCUUGCCGAUGAAGACGUGAAUUCUUCCGAAGGGGACCUGGUACCCGUACUUGAUUGAGCUGGCAUCGGGGCCCCAGCCUGCAUCGUUGAUGUAGAGCUUGCCGCGACGACUCUUAGUCAUCCGGCCCACUACGUAUCCCUUGAGCCCUUCAAACUUGCCCUCCAUGAACUUGAAACCAUCAUGUGAUAGCCCCACGGUGGGCGCCAACUGUCGUGGAAUUAUCACGUCAGAUGUCCUAGUGUGAGGACUUAGUCGUGGAGCCAUCGCGAUCGGGUUAGCUUAGAGGGGUUAAACCGGACAAAGGACACGGGAAGUUUAUACUGGUUUGGCCCCUUGCGGUGAAGGUAAAAGCCUAUGAUCCAGUUGUGGUGGAAUUGAUGUGGUCUCGAUAACCAGGGAGCGAAUACGCUUUGCCUAGUUCUCGAGUUGUUGUUUAUUGUCCCUGAACUGCCGCCGGGUCAUCCCUAUAUAUACACAGGUUGACGCUUGGCCGGUCUACAGAAUCCCGAGGCCGGCUCAUACAAGUGUCCGGCUCGGUUUCUUCCUUUCCCUAUCUUACAACACAAGUCACACGCCUUAUGGCGGUUUACAUCUAUGGGCCCUAAUCCGCCAUUGGGCUCUGGGCCUCUAAGCCUCCAUAGUUAAAGCGCCAUAGUCUUCGUCUUCAUGGGAUUCUAUAUAGAUGACUGCUUGUGAGUAUAAUCCGGCCCCUCCUGGGCGGUUUAUACUCGGUAGUUAUAUCCCCAACACUACUCAUAGAUUCAUCAAAAUAAGCAAACAACACACGAAGAACAGAAUUUGUCAAAAAUAGAACAAUCUGUAGUACUCUGUAACUUUCAAAUACUUCUGUAACUCCAAAAAUUCUGAAAUAUAUUGGUGGACGUGAGGAAUUUGUCUAUUAAUCUUCUGCAAAAAGAAUAAACCUAAAAUCACUCUUUUGUAAAAAACAACAGCUAUUCUCGUGAGUGCAAAAGUUUCUGUUUUUUACAGCAAGAUCGCAAAGACUUCACCCAAGUAUUCCCAAAGGUUCUACUUGGCACAAACACUAAUUAAAACAUAAAACCACAUCUAGCCAGAGGCUAGAUGAAUUAAGAACAAAAAUAAAAUUGGGUUGCCUCCCAACAAGCGCUAUCGUUUAACGCCCGUAGCUAGGCAUUAAGAUUUCGAUGAUGCUCACAUGAAAGACAAGAAUUGAAGCGCAAAGAGAGCAUCACGAAACACAUGCCAAACACAUCUAAGUCUAACAUACUUCCUAUGCAUAGGCAUAUUAUAGGCAAACAAAUUAUCAUAGCAAGCAAAAACUAGCGUAUGCAAGGAAGAAGAAAAAGAUGAUAACAAUCUCAACAUGAAGAGAGGUAAUUUAGUAAGAUAAAAAUUUCUACAACCAUAUUUUCCUCUCUCAUAAUAAUUACAUGUAGGAUCAUAAGCAAAUUCAACAAAAUAGCUAUCACAUAACAUAUUCUCAACACGAUCCACAUGCAUGCAAAGUUGACACUCCUCCAAAAUAAUGGGAUCAACAUUAACUAAAGUCAUGACCUCUCCAAACCCACUUUUAUCAAAAAUUUCAUAAGAUUGAACAUUCUCCAAAUAUGUGGGAUCUAAACUUGACACUCUUCCAAACCCAAUUUCAAUAUUAUUGCAAACAUUAUUAUCAAUCUCAUAUUCAUCAUGGGGCUUAAAUAAAUUUUCAAGAUCAUAAGAAGAAUCACCCUAAUCAUGAUCAUUGCAAGAAAUAGUAGACAUAGCAAAAAUAGCAUCCCCAAGCAUAAGGUUUUGCAUAUCAUUAACACAAUUGACAUUAAGAGAAUUUAUAAUAACAUCAUUGCAAUCAUGCUUUUCAUCGAAGGAACUAUCAAGUAUGGGUGCAAUAGCAACGAUCUCAUGUUUAACAUAAGGAACUAUAGAAAAUUCGUCUUCAUAAAUAUUGGCAUCAUGGCCACAAGAAUAGAAAGCAUCAUGUUCAUCAAGGGAUAUUUCAACCAAAUCAUCCGAAUCAUAAUUAUCUAUAGAUUCAUGCAUAUCAUUAUUUUCUUCCAAAGCAACAGUCAUUCUUUCAAUAAAUUCUUUAACAUAGACAUUAUGAGCAUAGUUUUCAUAGCAAUAUUUAAGUAUGUCAGAAAAUUUAGAUUCAUAUAGAGUAAUAUCAUACUUUUCAAUCAAAGAAGCAACUUCAUAAGCACGCUUAAAAGCAACAAAGUCUUCAAUUUGUUCGAUGUCAUAGUAAUUAUAAACACCCUUUGCAUAAGAAGAUAAGAUUUCAUUAUCAUUAAACUAGCAUAGGUAGGGAAGGUGUUCUUUAGGGUUCUUAGAGCAACAAGUAAAAUCAUAAAUUUCACAAAGAUUCCAAGCAUAACACAUCAAUCUGUUUAUUUGAUCCCAUAAGAGUCUCCCUUUUUCAGACAAACAAUGACGCACAAAAUGAGCAUGCUCAUCUAAAGAUUUCCCAUCAACUAGGCUAGUUGGGGUUUCAGCACAAGCGCAUAAGGAUCAAAGAUGAUCCAAGUAAAACACUUUAAGUGGAUCCAUAUCAAUAGAUUUUUAGCAAGCAAAGAUGCAAGCAAAUAGAAGGCACAUGGAAAUACAAACAAAAAGACAUACGUGAAGAAGGCGAAUAAAAGGCAAAGGUUUUCAAAAAUCGUUUUAGAAGUGGGGGAGAGGAAAACGAGAGGCGAAUGGCGAAUAAUGUAAUGCAAGGGAGAAGAGUUUAUGAUGGGUACAUGGUAUGGCUUGACUUGGCAUAGAUCUCCCCGGCAACGGCGCCAGAAAUCCUUCUUGCUACCUCUUGAGCAUGCAUUGGUUUUCCCUUGAAGAGUAAAUGGUGAUGCAACAAAGUAGCAUAAGUAUUUCACUCAUUUUUGAGAACCAAGGUAUCAAUCCAAUAGGAGACGAUGCACAAGUUACUGAAUACAUGCACAAACAAUCAAGAACUUGCAACCAAUGUGAUAAAGGGGUUGUCAAUCCCUUCAUGGUCACUCACAAAAGUGAGAUCUGAUAGAGAUAAUAAAGUAAACAUUUUUGGUUUAUAGAUUGGAAAGUAAAGAUUGCAAAAUAAUAGAUCGAAAACUAGCAAGAUGUAAACGAGAUUUAAUAUAAUGGGAAAAGAGACCCGGGGGCCAUAGGUUUCACUAGUGGCUUCUCUCGAGAUACCAUAUAUUAUGGCGGGUGAACAAAUUACUUCUGAGCAAUUGAUAGAAAAGCGCAUAAUUAUGAUGACAUCUAAGGCAAUGAUCAUGAACAUAGGCAUCACGUCCGUGUCAAGUAGACCGACUCCUGUCUGCAUCUACUACUAUUACUCCACACAUCGACCGCUAUCCAGCAUGCAUCUAGAGUAUUAAGUUCAUAAAGAAUGGAGUAACACAUUAAGCAAGAUGACAUGAUGUAGAGGAAUUAACUCAAGCAAUAUGAUGAAAACCACAUCUUGUUAUCCUCGAUGGCAACAAUACAAUACAUGCCUUGCUGCCCCUACUGUCAUUGGGAAAGAACACCACAAGAUUGAACCCAAAGCUAAGCACUUCUCCCAUGGCAAGAAAGAUCAAUCUAGUAGGCCAAACUAAACCGACAAUUCGAAGAGACUUGCAAAGAUAUCAAAUCAUGCAUAUAAGAAAAAGAACCAAAUAAUAUCUAUAGAUAAUCUUGAUCAUAAAUCCACAAUUCAUCGGAUCUCAGCAAACACACCGAAAAGUGUAUUACAUCGAAUAGAUGUCCAAGAACAUCGAGGAGAACUUUGUAUUGAGAAUCAAAGAGAGAGUAGAAGCCAUCUAGCUAAUAACUAUGGACUCGAAGGUCUGUGGUAAACUACUCACGCUUCAUCGAAGAGGUAAUGGUGUUGAUGUAGAAGCCCUCCGUGAUCGAAUCCCCUCCGGCAAGAUGCCGUAAAAGGCCCCAAGAUGGGAUCUCACGGGUACAGAAGGUUGCGGCGCUGGAAAACUAGAUUUAUGGCUCCCCCUAACGUUUUUAGCUUAUAAGAGUAUAUAUGGCGAAAGAAAUAGGUCGAUGGAGCUACGAGGGGGCCACGAGGGUGGGGGCGUGCCUACCCCCCUGGGCGCGCCUUCCUGCCUCGUGGCCUCCUUGUUACGUCUCCGACUUCAUCUCCAAGUCUUUUGGUUUGCUUUCGGUCCAAAAAAGAUCAUCACGAAGGUUUCAUUCCGUUUGGACUCCGUUUGGUAUUCCUUUUCUGCAAAACUCUAAAAUAGGCAAAAAAAAUAGAAACUGGCAUUGGGCCGUCGGUUAAUAGGUUAGUCCCAAAAAAAUAUAAAAUAGCUUAUUAAAGCCCAUUAAACAUCCAAAACAGAUAAUAUAAUAGCAUGGAACAAUCAAAAAUUAUAGAUAUAUUAGAGACUUAUCACAUAUCUCUAUGUAGCCCAAAUCGUUAGGGUCAAAUUCUUCCAUGAUGAGGACUGUGUACUCAUCCGCUCGCUCCUUGAUUUUGGAAAGUUUGUUUGCUGAUGCACUAAGGGCGAUAAUUGCGAAGUGUGUCAUCAUUUCCUUAAUUAAUAGCAGAAUAUAUGCUUCACAUUUACACACUGAGGCUAUAUUUUCAGUUUGGGUUCUUGUGACUGACCUCCUUAACAUCCUCGGAUGUGAUUCUUCCAUCGGCAUUUUGUCAACCCUGAACAAGUGCACCUAUAUAUCAAGAGUGAAGGAAACCAAGAAAAAACAUUUAGCAUGAGUGAACUACUAACAUGUCGAUGCAUGUUUGGUGACGGUUGUCGAAACCCUGGUGAUUGAGUUGCUCCCAGAGCUCUUUCAGCUCCACCUUGGUCAAUACUUCAUUGUCCCUCUCUUCCUCGCCAGUGAAUCGAACAACCUCGUCGUUGUCUCUGAACCAUGUGGUAUUUGUGGCAUUUGCUGCUUGAACCUUCUAAGCCUCCAUUGUUUGUGUUUGAGAUCAUCGUUGCAGUGUCAGAAUCAGUGGCUCACUUGGCAGCUUCAGUGUCAGACGUGUCCUUCUUUACCUACCUCUAGGACAACUUCUCCUCCCUGCUCAAAGGAGAAGUUGGUCACUAACUGUCUUUUUCAACGAAUCAAAACUUGCAGCAGAUGUGUCUCCACGAAUAGAAAGGUAAAUAAAAAACAGAAGUUACAAUCGUACUUGUAAUAACCUAAGAUACAUGAAUAGAAAUUACAAGAGAAGAGAUCUCACUUUUUAUUUUUCAAGCACUCAGAUCUCCCCGGCAAAAAGACAUAUGGAAAUACAAACAAAAAGACAUACGUGAAGAAGGUGAAUAAAAGGCAAAGGUUUUCAAAAAUCGUUUUAGAAGUGGGGGAGAGGAAAACGAGAGGCGAAUGGCGAAUAAUGUAAUGCAAGGGAGAAGAGUUUAUGAUGGGUACAUGGUAUGGCUUGACUUGGCAUAGAUCUCCCCGGCAACGGCGCCAGAAAUCCUUCUUGCUACCUCUUGAGCAUGCAUUGGUUUUCCCUUGAAGAGUAAAUGGUGAUGCAACAAAGUAGCAUAAGUAUUUCACUCAUUUUUGAGAACCAAGGUAUCAAUCCAAUAGGAGACGAUGCACAAGUUACUGAAUACAUGCACAAACAAUCAAGAACUUGCAACCAAUGUGAUAAAGGGGUUGUCAAUCCCUUCAUGGUCACUCACAAAAGUGAGAUCUGAUAGAGAUAAUAAAGUAAACAUUUUUGGUUUAUAGAUUGGAAAGUAAAGAUUGCAAAAUAAUAGAUCGAAAACUAGCAAGAUGUAAACGAGAUUUAAUAUAAUGGGAAAAGAGACCCGGGGGCCAUAGGUUUCACUAGUGGCUUCUCUCGAGAUACCAUAUAUUAUGGCGGGUGAACAAAUUACUUCUGAGCAAUUGAUAGAAAAGCGCAUAAUUAUGAUGACAUCUAAGGCAAUGAUCAUGAACAUAGGCAUCACGUCCGUGUCAAGUAGACCGACUCCUGUCUGCAUCUACUACUAUUACUCCACACAUCGACCGCUAUCCAGCAUGCAUCUAGAGUAUUAAGUUCAUAAAGAAUGGAGUAACACAUUAAGCAAGAUGACAUGAUGUAGAGGAAUUAACUCAAGCAAUAUGAUGAAAACCCCAUCUUGUUAUCCUUGAUGGCAACAAUACAACAUGUGCCUUGUUGCCCCUACUAUCACUGGGAAAGGACACCGCAAGAUUGAACCCAAAGCUAAGCACUUCUCGCAUGGCAAGAAGGAUCAAUCUAGUAGGCCAAACUAAACCGAUAAUUCGAAGAGACUUGCAAAGAUAUCAAAUCAUCCAUAUAAUAAUUCAGAGAAGAACCAAACAAUAUUCAUAGAUAAUCUUGAUCAUAAAUCCACAAUUCAUCGGAUCUCGGCAAACACACCGCAAAAGGGUAUUACAUCGAAUAGGUCUCCCAGAACAUCAAGGAGAACUUUGUAUUGAGAAUCAAAGAGAGACAAUAAGCCAUAUAGCUAAUAACUAUGGACCCGAAGGUCUGUGGUAAACUACUCACGCUUCAUCGGAGAGGUAAUGGUGUUGAUGUAGAAGCCCUCCGUGAUCAAAUCCCCCUCCGGCAGGAUGCCGAAAAAGGCCCCAAGAUGGGAUCUCACGGGUACAGAAGGUUGCGGUGGUGGACAACUGGAUUCGUGGCUCCCCCUAAUGUUUUUAGGGUACAAGAGUAUAUAUAGGCGAAAGAACUAGGUCGGUAGAGCUACGAGGGGCCCACGAGGGUGGGGGUGCGCCUACCCCCCCUGGGCGCGCCUUCCUGCCUCAUGGCCUCCUUGUUACGUCUCUGACUUCAUCUCCAAGUAUUUUGGUUUGCUUUCGGUCCAAUAAAGAUCAUCACGAAGGUUUCAUUCCGUUUGGACUCCAUUUGGUAUUCCUUUUCUGCAAAACUCUAAAAUAGGAAAAAAAACAGAAACUGGCACAGGGCCGUCAGUUAAUAGGUUAGUCCCAAAAAAAUUAUAAAAUAGCUUAUUAAAGCCCAUUAAACAUCCAAAACAGAUAAUAUAAUAGCAUGGAACAAUCAAAAAUUAUAGAUGUGUUGUAGACGUAUCACAUACCUCUAUGUAGCCCAAAUUGUUAGGGUCAAAUUCUUCCAUGAUGAGGACUGUGUACUCAUCCGCUCGCUCCUUGUUUUUGGAAAGUUUGUUUUUUGAUGCACUAAGGGCGAUAAUCUGUGAAGUGUGUCAUCAAUUGCUUAAUUAAUAGCAGAAUGUAUGCUUCACAUUUACACACUAAGACUAUAUUUUUAGUUUGGGUUCUUGUGACUGACCUCCUUACCAUCCUCGAAUGUGAUUCUUCCAUCAGCAUUUUGUCAACCCUGAACAAAGUGCACCUAUAUAUCAAGAGUGAAGGAAACCGAGAAAAAACAUUUAGCAGGAGUGAACAACUAACAUGUCGAUGCAUGUUUGGUGACGGUUGUCGAAACCCUGAUGAUUGAGUUGCUCCCAGAGCUCUUUCAGCUCCACCUUGGUCAAUACUUCAUUGUCCCUCUCUUCCUCGCCAGUGAAUCGAACAACCUCGUCGUUGUCUCUGAACCAUGUGGUAUUUGUGGCAUUUGCUGCUUGAACCUUCUAAGCCUCCAUUGUUUGUGUUUGAGAUCAUCGUUGCAGUGUCAGAAUCAGUGGCUCACUUGGCAGCUUCAGUGUCAGACGUGUCCUUCUUUACCUACCUCUAGGACAACUUCUCCUCCCUGCUCCAAGGAGAAGUUGGUCACUAACUGUCUUUUUCAACGAAUCAAAACUUGCAGCAGAUGUGUCUCCACGAAUAGAAAGGUAAAUAAAAAACAGAAGUUACAAUCGUACUUGUAAUAACCUAAGAUACAUGAAUAGAAAUUACAAGAGAAGAGAUCUCACUUUUUAUUUUUCAAGCACUCAGAUCUACCUAGCUCAAUUAAGAACUCAUCUCUCCAUGGGGGGGUGCGGCAUCAUCAGCUGGAGUAUACAGAAAUUGGACCGAACCCCAAGUGGAGAAACAAACAUACACUAACUAACAAUUAAGCAGAGAAGACGAAAAGUAACUUUUGUUUACGUCAAAGAGAAAAAGAGCAAAGUUUAUACCUUAAACCCGAGAGAGACAUCGGGCCCUAAUUGGAACCGGGAGCAAAGAGUACCCUUAAUAAAUACUCCCUUUGUCUCAAAAUAUAAGGCAUUUUUGACACUUUUGAGACAUAAGGAGUACAAACCAAGUUGUCUGGGGACCUAAACGCAUGAGGUAAAGCACCAACCACUACUGGCAGUUAGCACUGGUCACUUGUGUCAGCUCUACUCCUCCGAAUGUGACUCGCUGGCCUUGCGACAAAUGACACAGGGGAAAUUGGUUAGUGCAUGGUUGCACUUCAGCUAUUGGAAACUUAAGGGAAAAACCCACGAUAUUCAUAUUUUUCUCUUUGAAUCAGAUCUAGAGGUAUUUAACAAAAGAAACUUCGAAGAGAACAGAAACAACAGUAAAAAACUUUCGGCAAUCUGGAUCAUGUAUCCAAAAGAAACUCCGAGGAGAACUAGCCAGCAUCUUCGAUUGUGCAAUAUGGAUCACGUAUUCUGCUUAGUUGGGGUAUCUUAACCCUAGAAAUUUGGAUGUUAGGACCUGCAUUCACCAUUUCCAACAUAGAAAACCAUUAAUUAGAGAUGUAAAACAAACGGCUUAUAGCAUUCUACUGUGCAACUGUUUAAUUUUUAGAAAUUCUGUUCUCAAAAUUCUAAUCCUGAGUAGUGUUGCAACACGUCAAAGGAAGAAGUCUAACCUGAAGAAGUGCAGGGAAGAAUUACAAUUGCAUGUGGUCGGCUGGUUCAGGGGAUGUUUUUGGUUUAUAAAGAUAAUAAAGUAAACAUUUUUGGUUUAUAGAUUGGAAAGUAAAGAUUGCAAAAUAAUAGAUCGAAAACUAGCAAGAUGUAAACCAUAUUUAAUAUAAUGGGAAAAGAGACACGGGUGCCAUAGGUUUCACUAGUGGCUUCUCUCGAGAUAGCAUAUAUUAUGGUGGGUGAACAAAUUACUGCCAAGCAAUUGAUAGAAAAGCGCAUAAUUAUGAUGACAUCUAAGGCAAUGAUCAUGAACAUAGGCAUCACGGCCGUGUCAAGUAGACCGAGUCCUGCUUGCAUCUACUACUAUUACUCCACACAUCGACUGCUAUCCAGCAUGCAUCUAGAGUAUUAAGUUCAUAAAGAACGGAGUAACGCAUUAAGCAAGAUGACAUGAUGUAGAGGAAUUAACUCAAGCAAUAUGAUGAAAACCACAUCUUGUUAUCCUCGAUGGCAACAAUACAAUACAUGCCUUGCUGCCCCUACUGUCAUUGGGAAAGAACACCACAAGAUUGAACCCAAAGCUAAGCACUUCUCCCAUGGCAAGAAAGAUCAAUCUAGUAGGCCAAACUAAACCGACAAUUCGAAGAGACUUGCAAAGAUAUCAAAUCAUGCAUAUAAGAACUCAGAGAAGAACCAAAUAAUAUCUAUAGAUAAUCUUGAUCAUAAAUCCACAAUUCAUCGGAUCUCAGCAAACACACCGGAAAAGUGUAUUACAUCGAAUAGAUGUCCAAGAACAUCGAGGAGAACUUUGUAUUGAGAAUCAAAGAGAGAGUAGAAGCCAUCUAGCUAAUAACUAUGGACUCGAAGGUCUGUGGUAAACUACUCACGCUUCAUCGAAGAGGUAAUGGUGUUGAUGUAGAAGCCCUCCGUGAUCGAAUCCCCUCCGGCAAGAUGCCGUAAAAGGCCCCAAGAUGGGAUCUCACGGGUACAGAAGGUUGCGGCGCUGGAAAACUAGAUUUAUGGCUCCCCCUAACGUUUUUAGCUUAUAAGAGUAUAUAUGGCGAAAGAAAUAGGUCGAUGGAGCUACGAGGGGGCCACGAGGGUGGGGGCGUGCCUACCCCCCUGGGCGCGCCUUCCUGCCUCGUGGCCUCCUUGUUACGUCUCCGACUUCAUCUCCAAGUCUUUUGGUUUGCUUUCGGUCCAAAAAAGAUCAUCACGAAGGUUUCAUUCCGUUUGGACUCCGUUUGGUAUUCCUUUUCUGCAAAACUCUAAAAUAGGCAAAAAAAAUAGAAACUGGCAUUGGGCCGUCGGUUAAUAGGUUAGUCCCAAAAAAAUAUAAAAUAGCUUAUUAAAGCCCAUUAAACAUCCAAAACAGAUAAUAUAAUAGCAUGGAACAAUCAAAAAUUAUAGAUAUAUUAGAGACUUAUCACAUAUCUCUAUGUAGCCCAAAUCGUUAGGGUCAAAUUCUUCCAUGAUGAGGACUGUGUACUCAUCCGCUCGCUCCUUGAUUUUGGAAAGUUUGUUUGCUGAUGCACUAAGGGCGAUAAUUGCGAAGUGUGUCAUCAUUUCCUUAAUUAAUAGCAGAAUAUAUGCUUCACAUUUACACACUGAGGCUAUAUUUUCAGUUUGGGUUCUUGUGACUGACCUCCUUAACAUCCUCGGAUGUGAUUCUUCCAUCGGCAUUUUGUCAACCCUGAACAAGUGCACCUAUAUAUCAAGAGUGAAGGAAACCAAGAAAAAACAUUUAGCAUGAGUGAACUACUAACAUGUCGAUGCAUGUUUGGUGACGGUUGUCGAAACCCUGGUGAUUGAGUUGCUCCCAGAGCUCUUUCAGCUCCACCUUGGUCAGCACUUCAUUGUCCCUCUCUUCCUCGCCAGUGAAUCGAACAACCUCGCCGUUGUCUCUUAACCAGGUGGUCUUUGUGGCCUUUGCUGCUUGAACCUUCUAAGCUCCCACUAUUUGUGUUUGGGAUAAGCGUUGCAGUGUCAGAAUCAGUGGCUCACUUGGCAGCUUCAGUGUCAGACAUGUCCUUAUUUACCUACCUCUAGGACAACUUCUCCUCCCUGCUCAAAGGAGAAGUUGGUCACUAACUGUCUUUUUCAGCGAAUCAAAACUUGCAGCAGAUGUGUCUCCAGAAAUAGAAAGGUAAAUAAAAAAUAGAAGUUACAAUUGUACUUGUAAUAAUUUAAGAUACAUGAAUAGAAAUUACAAGAGAAGAGAUCUCACUUUUUAUUUUUCAAGCACUCAGAUCUACCUAGCUCAAUUAAGAACUCAUCUCUCCAUGGGGGGGUGCGGCAUCAUCAGCUGGAGUAUACAGAAAUUGGACCGAACCCCAAGUGGAGAAACAAACAUACACUAACUAACAAUUAAGCAGAGAAGACGAAAAGUAACUUUUGUUUACGUCAAAGAGAAAAAGAGCAAAGUUUAUACCUUAAACCCGAGAGAGACAUCGGGCCCUAAUUGGAACCGGGAGCAAAGAGUACCCUUAAUAAAUACUCCCUUUGUCUCAAAAUAUAAGGCAUUUUUGACACUUUUGAGACAUAAGGAGUACAAACCAAGUUGUCUGGGGACCUAAACGCAUGAGGUAAAGCACCAACCACUACUGGCAGUUAGCACUGGUCACUUGUGUCAGCUCUACUCCUCCGAAUGUGACUCGCUGGCCUUGCGACAAAUGACACAGGGGAAAUUGGUUAGUGCAUGGUUGCACUUCAGCUAUUGGAAACUUAAGGGAAAAACGCACGAUAUUCAUAUUUUUCUCUUUGAAUCAGAUCUAGAGGUAUUUAACAGAAGAAACUUCGAAGAGAACAGAAAUAACAGUAAAAAACUUUCGGCAAUCUGGAUCAUGUAUCCAAAAGAAACUCCGAAGAAAACUAACCAGCAUCUUCGAUUGUGCAAUCUGGAUCACGUACUCUGCUGAGUUGGGGUAUCUUAACCCUAGAAAUUUGGAUGUUAGGACCUGCAUUCACCAUUUCCAACAUAGAAAACCAUUAAUUAGAGAUGUAAAACAAACGGCUUAUAGCUUCUGCUGUGCAACUGUUUAUUUUUUAGAAACUCUGUUCACAAAAUUCUAAUCCUGAGUAGUGUUGCAACAUGUCAAAGGAAGAAGUCUAACAUAAAGAAGUCCAGGGAAGAAUUACAACUACGUGUGGCCGGCUGGUUCAGGGGACGUUCAGGGUGGGCGUGGCGGCUCGUGUGCCGGGGCAGGCUCUUAGGCACUGGCGAUCUUGCGGACGGAUAUUAGAAAAAAAUUGAGUUUUUUUUGUUGGUAAAAAAAAGGUGAGGUUGUAUCUUGUUAGUUGGGUCUCCAUUGGCCGUCGAAAUCAUACCUGGCGACCUGAUGGGGCUGCCUGCAGCUUCAAAACUCGAGCAGAUUGCUGCAUAAUAGUCUUGUUAUAGCCUGGCCGAUCUGUGAAUAUUUGAUUGUAGGUGAAGGAGGGGCAGCCGCCCACUCGACGGUGCUGAUCAGGGUGGCGAGGGAGCCCGGCAGGUAGGUGUCGAUGCAGUGCAGGGCGGCGACGAUCCGAUGCAGGGAUCAAGGUCGUUGUGUAGGGAGGCGCUGAUGCAGUGCAGGGUUGGCGAUGAAAGGUAGGGAUAGGGCGAGGGACACAAUUAGGUUGAGUUUUCUUUUUUGCGUGUUGGUUAGAUGGUUAGAUUAGCGUGAUUUGAGGGGCUGCGGAGGCUGGUCAGGGAGUUUCAUAUUUUCAUCUGGUGGAGUAUGGUUAGUCUAUGUAAACUGCUAAGCGCACACCAGAUCUCAAAUAAAUUAAUAAUGGUUGUUGGAUGGGGUCGUUCGGGCUUCAUCCUAUGGUGUUGAUGUGGGUGACGUGGUUGUGGAUGUUUUGCGGGGUGCACUUCAAAAAGCUCUUGUUUGAUUGUUUAAUAGUAGUGAAGAUAAAAUAGUCAGUUUCAUAAUUAUUCGCCAAAGAAAAUCAGUAUGAUGAUACAAUGCAAAAUAUAGCUCUUAGGAUUGUUGGACAAAAUAUCUCCCAUGAAGUACCCAUAAAUUUAACAUCCAAAAGACCACCAGAUAACUUGUAUGAUGACUAUAAGUGUUAAUAGUUUUAUAAAACUAUUAUCCUUUAUUUUUUAUAAAACUAUCAAAAUAAUAAUGACUGAAUAUUUAUUUAAACCAUUGUGACAAUAUAAAAAAAACCGCACCAUACAGCCGAACCUAACACGUCCGAUAAAAAAGGAAUUAAACAAUGUCCGAUGCUAAUAUAAACCAAAUGACAAAAAGGCUAGUGAUAAUUACGAAAAAAGAAUGAACAACGCCUAGCACUAUAUAUUAGUAUUACUUAAUUAUUACUUGCUCUGUAAACUAAUAUAAGACGUUUAGAUAUCUAAAACGUCUUAUAUUUGUUUACAGAGUAGCACUUGGCUAAAAAGCCAUCGAUAAAGAAAGAAAAGGGAAGAAAGAACUGGACACGCCCGACGCUCUUUGCCUCGUGCCUCCCUCUUACACUUCACACAUCACCAAACCUUAUCCUUUCAUUGUCUGCCCACCGCUCCUAGAAAAGCAAAAGAAAAAUAAAACGCUAGCAAAAAGGCCAGCGCGGAGCGCCACCACCCACCAUACAACAGCCAGC